UCAAGUGACAAAUUGAACUACCGUGCCUUUAACAGGGUAAUGGUGCACUCAUUUGCAGAAGAUGAUUUACUGUUGCUUGAUGAAGACUCAGCUUCAGGCAGAUUCCUCCCUGUGAAAAACCCUGGCUGCUUUGGUUGAGGCAAUGCACUUUCACUGCUUAGCAUUAGAAUUACAGAAGACAUGUUUGGUCUAUCUUCUGGUCGUUGCUGCACGCACAGCAGUCCCACAUGAAUGCAUCGCUGCACUUCAGAUGGCAAGCAAAAGUCCCUAAGAGCAUCAUCAAUCAGUUCCAUUGGCCUCCUUUCUGUCCAUAAUCUCCAUGCCUGAAAUUUCAGAAAUUCAGAAUCAUGAUUUUUGCCCUGGAAAUUCAACAUGGUUAACGAUCUUAACAUUUAACCUUACAUGUCCGAGAAGAUUAUGAUCAUGAUCUGGGUGGAAAAAUCCCCUGUUCUUCUUUCCACUUACUAUCUCAAGGACAAGAACCCCAAAGCUAAAGACAUCAGAUUUCAUUGAGAAAACCCCAUCAAUGGCAUACUCGGGAGACAUAUAACCACUGCAAGUACGUUGAGAAAACAAUUUAAUAGCAACAUAAAGGAUAGCCAUAAAGAAAGAUUUGAUUUACUUUGUACUUACUAUGUUCCGACCACUUUAUUUGUGUUGGCCUCAGUUUGCUCUCCCCAAAAUGUUUUAGCUAAGCCAAAAUCUGAAAUUUUUGGGUUCAUUGCGUUAUCCAGUAAAAUGUUGCCGGACUUGAGAUCUCUGUGGAUUAUUCUAAGUCUAGAGUCUUGAUGAAGAUAAAGAAGUCCUCGAGCAAUUCCACCAAUAAUAUUCACUCGUUUACUCCAGUCUAGUAGUUUGCUUCUUGUUUGAUCUGAUUCAGUUCCCAAUGUCAGCCAAACCACUAAUAGAAUCCUUAAAGAGAAGGUAUCAGAAAAAAAAGAUUAUGAAACAUGAAAGGAAUAGCGAGACCAAACCAAAAAUAAAGUAGUCCAAACUUUUGUUGGCCAUGUAUUCAUAGAUUAACAAUUUUUCCUCUCCUUGAAUGCAACAGCCGAGAAGCUUUACAAGAUUGCGGUGCUGAAGUUUGGCAAUCAAAAUAACUUCAUUUUUGAAUUCUUUCAGCCCUUGUCCAGAAUCCUUUGAUAGUCUCUUUACUGCUAUGUGUUGCCCCUCUGCCAAUGUACUCUUAACCAUAACAAAUAAAUGUUUUACUUAUAACAAAUAUACAUGCUGCAGUACUUGAAUGAAGCCCCGGUAGCAUAUUAUUGCUUUACCUUGUAAACUGAUCCAAAUCCACCUCUUCCCAGCAAGUUCUCAAUAGAAAAGUUAUUUGUGGCAUUUGCUAUGGUCCCAAAAUUAAAUAAUGGCAAUUCCAUCUCUUCGUUCUCCCUUUCAUCACAAUCCAUUGCGCGAUUCUUUCUUGUCAAUCCUGAAACGAUGCAUAAUGCAUCGGCAUUAGUAAAAGCACCUUAUGUUUAUAGUUAAGUCAGGCGUUGUGGGGAAGGGAUUCAAACUCAAGACAUCCAUCAUUUUUAAGGCAAUUUCACAGCAACAUUAGUAAAAAUCAUUUCAAAAAAAGAAAAAAAAUAGGGGCUGGUUAUGAGGACUAACAGCAGACAUUUUAAUCCGACAAUUUAUGCCAGAUAAGCAGCCUUUGCUUAAGUUUCAACAAAAGUAAUCAGGUUUAUUUACCUUUCUUAUUACGUUUCCUCCACCGGAUACACAAGACAGCUGGUAUCAGCAUUCCCAUUCCUAUUAUGACAGAGCCGAUUAUAAUUGCUACUCGCUUUUUCUCCCAUGAUUGCCGUUUUUGGUCGAUAUUAGCUGAAAGAUUCGAGAUGAAGUCAGAGAUGUGGAUUUUCAGUUUUUUUCCAAGUUUGUUAGAAUAAAAAAUUUCUGCAAAAGGCAAACUGAUCAUGUCCAUAGUUCCAAAAUUUUUCUUCCUUUCUUUCCUUCGCUGCCAUCCAAAGAUUGUCCUAAGCUUACCAUAGUUCAAGAGCAAAGUACCUGAAAAAUGUUCUCUACUUUCUACUCCAAUUGAUUCUUACCUCUAAAUCCUACUUCCUCUAGACUAAAUCCCUCAGGAUAUAAUUGCAUGAAUAAAUAUUGGAAAAAAAAAAGAUUUAAACACGAUCCAAGUGAAAAAAAGAGGACAAGUACCUAUUUCUGAAGCAGCAAGUCGAAUAUAAAGGUCUUGCCCAUCAUGCCCCAUAUCAUCUCUCAUGUCCAACAGAUCACCAAACCACAGCAGGCAUCCGCUUCCCCCCUCUCUGAUAUCUGAAUUUGUAUAUGCAGUGCAAGAGCAAUCACUCAAACAUAACUGCCUACAUUCUUUGAUAUUCAUGGUCAUGUUAACCUUGGAAUGGGACGUGUCUGGCAAUUUCAAACCCGUGCGCUUGUGAAAGCUAUCUCCAUUGUUACAAACCAAUGGAGUUCUUCUAACACACCCAUCAUACCAAACUCUUGAAUUCCACUUUCCUACAAAUUUGGGCGUGAACCCUUCCAAGCAUGAACACACUGCUGGAGACUUAUUUUCAUUGCAGGUGGCAUAUGUUCCACAAAGGGCAUAGUUCUCACACUGAUCAAGAUAUGACGUUGAUAGAUACUCCCAAUCACGUUGUUGAUCACUCCAGAAAAGGAACUGAGCAAAGCCUAAUGGGCUUAGCAUGUACCUAGUAACUACUGAACUGUUGGGCUCAGUAGUAUAAUAAACUUCAUUCUCAUUGAACUUAAAUUCAUGCUUGAAAAAUAUUACAUUCGGUCUCAUCGCUGUAAAGCGAAGACCAUUCCAUGAUCCUGCUCUGUAUACUAUUUUAGAUCCCUUCUCAAUUUCUAGUUGUGGAUAUCCACUGAUAUUUAUACGUAAAAAGUAUUGGCCUGGAGCAGGAUCAUCUGUACUUUUCCAGGAUGACAGAAACCACUCAAAACCUGUGACUAAGUUCUUCCCGAUUUUCAUUCCUGGAAGAAACGUAUCAGAAGGAUAAUCAAAACUCUCCCAUAGAUUGUCUUCAGCUGGGUUGUUGUCUUUUCCAUUUUUUACUACAAGAUUUCCUGAGUUGAGAAGAUGAGCAACGGGCUCUUGUGCAGCUUCGGAUGUAUUAGAUGACCAAACAGUGCUAUUUGUGCUAUUCAGAAGCGAAAGAAUUCCAUGGUUGGAGAAAAGUAAGACUCCUUUAUUAUCAGAAAUUGGAGUUUCUCUGUUUGCCACCCAUACAACGGUUCGACUAGAUACUUUCUUGUACCAUAUUCCUAAAAAUCGACUUGUGGAACUUACUGUAGGGCCGAAAAAUCCCAGUUCAAAGCUCCCAUCAGCUGAAACAAGAGUUUCACCAUCUUUAAUGGAUUGACUUGGAGAGAGAGUAUCUACUGCAGUAGCAGUCCUUAAGAUGAAGAAAACAAAUAAAUAUACAAGAAAGAAUGAAAUCGUCUCCAUUGAUUAUCUCAUGUUGCACUUCUUUCUUCAAAUAUGAAUGGUUUGGAAAAUUUAGGACAUUACUGAGACCAACCCGAAAUGAUGAAACAGAUGCUCCUAGAAAAUGGUAGGUCUACUGACAAUUUUCUAUUAAAUGCAGAUGUUGUAGGUUUGUUUCUCAUUAAUUCUCUGGCGUUGCUCAAAUAACGAUUGACAAAGAAAGGAUGACGGGUCUAACAGUAUUUAGCAACACUAAAAACCUGUUAAAGAAAAAUUUGUUUAGCGAAUGUUGAUAGAAAGAGCAUGGAAGAAUUGUGGGGAAAAUUUGUUUACACGAAAGAAAAUAGAGAGAGCAAGAAAGUCUUGCAAAGCUGUGGGACCAAACGGUCCCCUCCAUUAAUUGUCUUUUGAUAUACAUCAUGAGUUAAUAACUUUUAAAUAAUAAUCAAAGGUGGGUAAGAGAUUCACGUAACUAACCACCUUCUUCUAUACUUCAAGGUUUUGUAACUAACCACCUUUUUCUAUACGUCAAGGUUUUCACAAUGUUCAAGAAAAAACAUCAUUACAAAGUAAAACGAGAAGUUUUAAUCACACAUUAAUCCAAACUUUUUCAUGUUUAUUUGAGCCGGUGGCAAUUCCCCAUGCAACCGUCUACUCCUUUUAGAGCUAUAUUCACCUAAGUUAAUUUCAUUUUCCAACAAUAUCCACCUAAGGUAGUUUCAUUUGCCUCGGAUUAAACAUCAGACAAGUAUGAAUGGGCUAAGCCAAUUGCCUAUUUGGGCCAUUUAAGCAUUCACACUGAAUUUAAUGAAACCUGAGGUGAAUUUGGGCCUACUCUACAAUUUCGAGUGACUUCAGUAUAUGUCUAAACAAUGAAAAUAUGAAACUUUGUAAAAUUCAUGGGGUGAUGCUGACACUAACCAUUCGAACGCUGAUAUUCUUUUAAUAGUAAUCUAAUUCUGAUACUAGUAAUUGUGUUUUGAUAAGAUUUUUUAAAAAAUCAAUGAAAAUUAGACAACUUUAAUUAAAAAUUAAAUAAGUAUUAUUAAUCUGAUAAAUCAAUAUGAGUAUUUGGAUUAAUCACUUCGGGUUAAUCACUUUUAAUAUUUUUGGGGCUCAGAGAGAAGAAAGAUAUUGCUCAAGCAUCCUGAAGGUAAUUAAAUACAAAAUGUGAUGCAUGCAUAUCUUAGCUCAUCACUGUGAAAAUGGAGUAUCAUCUCAUCCAUUCUUGUUUUCUUCCUGAUCAGGUCUUACACGAAAAGCCGAAGCUACCCCUACGUCCAUUUGUCAAGUGACAAAUUCAACUACCGUGCCUUUAACAGGGUAAUGGUGCACUCAUUUGCAGAAGAUGAUUUACUGUUGCUUGAUGAAGACUCAGCUUAAGGCAGAUUCCUCCCUGUGAAAAACCCUGGCUGCUUUGGUUGUGGCAAUGCACUUUCACUGCCUAGCAUUAGAAUUACAGAAGACAUGUUUGGUCUAUCUUCUGGUCGUUGCUGCACGCACAGCAGUCCCACAUGAAUGCAUCGCUGCACUUCAGAUGGCAAGCAAAAGUUCCUAAGAGCAUCAUCAAUCAGUUCCAUUGGCCUGCUUUCUGUUCAUAGUUUCCAUGCCUGAAAUGUCAGAAAUUCAGAAUCAUUAUUUCUGCCUUGGAAAUUCAACAUGGUUAACAAUCUCAACAUUUAACCUUACAUGUCCGAGAAGAUUAUGAUCAUGAUCUGGGUGGGAAAAUCCCCUGUUCUUCUUUCCACUUACUAUCUCAAGGACAAGAACCCCAAAUCCAAAGACAUCAGAUUUCAUUGAGAAAACCCCAUCAAUGGCAUACUCGGGAGACAUAUAACCACUGCAAAUAUGUUGUGAAAACAAUUUAAUAGCAACAUAAAGGAUAGCCAUAAAGAAAGAUUUGAUUUACUUUGUACUUACUAUGUUCCGACCAGUCUAUUUGUUUUGGCCUCAGUUUGCUCUCCCCAAAAUGUUUUAGCUAAGCCAAAAUCAGAAAUUUUUGGGUUCAUUGCAUUAUCCAGUAAAAUGUUGCUAGACUUGAGAUCUCUGUGGAUUAUUCUAAGUCUAGAGUCUUGAUGAAGAUAAAGAAGUCCACGAGCAAUUCCACCAAUAAUAUUCACUCGUUUACUCCAGUCUAGUAGUUUGCUUCUUGUUUGAUCUGAUUCAGUUCCCCAUGUUAGCCAAACCACUAAUAGAAUCCGUAAAGAGAAGGUAUCAGAGAAGUAAGAUUCUGAAACAUGAAAGGAAUAGUGAAGGACCAAACCAAAAAUAAAGUAGUCCAAACUUUUGUUGGCCAUGUAUUCAUAGAUUAACAAUUUUUCAUCUCCUUGAAUGCAACAGCCGAGAAGCUUUACAAGAUUGCGGUGCUGAAGUUUGGCUAUCAAAAUAACUUCAUUUUUGAAUUCUUUCAGCCCUUGUCCAGAAUUCUUUGAUAGUCUCUUUACUGCUAUGUGUUGCCCCUCUGCCAAUGUACCCUUAAGACCAUAACAAAUAAAUAUUUUACUUAUAAGAAAUAUAGACGCUACAGAACUUGAAUGAAGCUCCGGUAGCAUAUUGUUGCUUUACCUUGUAUACAGAUCCAAAUCCACCUCUGCCCAGCAAGUUCUCAAUAGAAAAGUUAUUUGUGGCAUUUGCUAUGGUCCCAAAAUUAAAUAAUGGCAAUUCCAACUCUUCAUUCUCCCUUUCAUCACAAUCCAUUGAGUGAUUCUUUCUUGUCAAUCCUGAAACGAUGCACAAUGUAUUGGCAUUAGUAAAAGCACCUUAUGUUUAAGGCAAUUCUUCAGCAACGUUAGGAAAAAUCAUUUCAAAAAAAAUAGGGGCUGGUUAUGAGGACAAACAGCGGACAUCUUAAUCCGAUAAUUUAUGCCAGAUAAGCGGCCUUUGCUUAAGUUUCAACAUAAGUGAUCAAGUUUAUUUACCUUUCUUAUUACGUUUCCUCCACCGGAUACACAAGACAGGUAGCAUCAGCAUUCCCAUUCCUAUUAUGACAGAGCCGACUAUAAUUGCUACGCGCUUUUUCUUCCAUGAUUGCCUUUUUUGUACGAUAUUAGCUGAAAGAUUCGAGAUAAAGUAGAUGUGGAUUUUCAGUUUUUUUUCCAAGUUUGUUAGAAUAAAUAAUUCUACAAAAGGCAAACAGAUCAUGUCCAUAGUUCCAAAAUUUUCUUCUUUCCUUCGCUGCCAUCCAAAGAUUGUCCUGAGCUUACCAUAGUUGGAGAGCAAAAUACCUGAGAAAUGUUUUCUAGACUAAAUCCUACUUCCUCUAGACUAAAUCCCUCAGAAUAUAAUUGCAUGAAUAAAUAUUGAAAAGAAAAAAGAUUUCAACAUGAUCCACAGUGAAAAGAAGAGGACAAGUACCUAUUUCAGAAGCAGCAAGUCGAAUAUAAAGGUCUUGCCCAUCCUGCCCCAUAUCAUCUCCAUGUCCGACAAAUCACCAAACCACAGCAGGCAUCCGCUUCCCCCCUUUCUGAUAUCUGAAUUUGUAUAUGCAGUGCAAGAGCAAUCACUCAAACAUAACUGCCUGCAUUCUUUGAUGUUCAUGGUCGUGUUAACCUUGGAAUGGGACGUGUCUGGCAAUUUCAAACCCGUGCGCUUGAGAAAGCUAUCUCCAUUGUUACAAACCAAUGGAGUUCUUCUAACACACCCAUCAUACCAAAUUCCUGAAUUCCACUUUCCUACGAAUUUGGGCGUGAACCCUUCCAAGCAUGAACACACAGCUGGAGAGUCAUUUCCAUUGCAGGCAGCAUAUGUUCCACAAAGGGCAUAGUUCUCACACUGAUCAAGAUUUGACGUUGAUAAAGACUCCCAAUCACGUUGUUUAUCACUCCAUAAAAGGAUCUGACCAAAGCCUGACGGGUUCAGCAUGAUCCUAAUAACUACUGAAUUGUUUUUGACCUCAGUAGUAUAAUAGACUUCAUUCUCAUUCAACUCAAAUUCAAGUUUGAAAGAAAAUAUUGCAUUCGGUCUCAUCCCUAUAAAGCGAAGACCAUUCCAUGAUCCUGUUCUGUACGCUAUUUUAGAUCCCUUCUCAAUUACUAGUUGUGGAUAUCCACUGAUAUUUAUACGUACAAAGUAUUGGCCUGGAGCAGGAUCAUCUGUACUUUUCCAGGAUGACAGAAACCACUCAAAACCUGUCACUAAGUUCUUCCCAAUUUUCAUUCCUGAAAGCAAAGUAUCACAAGGAUAAUCAAAACUCUGCCAUAGAUUGUCAGCUGGGUUGCUGUCUUUUCCAUCUUUUACUACAAGAUUUCCUGAGUUGAGAAGAUGAGCAACGGGUUCUUGUGCAGUUUUUGAUGUAUUAGAUGACCAAACAGUGCUAUUUGUGCUAUUCAGAAGCGAAAGACUUCCAUGGUUGGACAAAAGUAAGACUCCUUUAUCAUCAGAAAUUGGAGUUUCUCUAUUUGCCACCCAUACAACCGUUCGCUUAGAUACUUUCUUGUACCAUAUUCCUAAAAAUCGACUUGUGGAACUUACUGUAGGGCUGAAAAAUCCCAGUUCAAAGCUCCCAUCAGCUGAAACUAGAGUUUCACCAUCUUUAAUGGAUUGACUUGGAGAGAGUAUCUACUGCAGUAGCAGUCCUUAAGAUGAAGAAAACAAAUAAAUGUACGAGAAAGAAUGAGAUCGUCUCCAUUGAUUAUCUCAUGUUGCACUUCUUUCUUCAAGUAUGAAUGAAUGUUUUGAAAAAUUUAGGAUACUACUGAGACCAACCAGAAAUGAUGAAACAGCUGCUCUUAGAAAAUGGUAGGUCAACUGACAAUUUUCUAUUAAAUGCAGAAAUGGUGAUAUUUUUUUCAACGAAGGUGGGCUUAUCAUUAAUUCUCUUGCGUUGCUCAAAUAACGAUUGACAAAGAAAGCUGAAAGCGAGAAUGUCCUGAACGAGUCUGGGUUAAUAUAUUUCCAAAUAAGGUGCUGUUGUUGUUGGAUAUUUUCAACAAUAAUGAAUGUGGGGCACAAUCCCACAUUGAAAAAGUAAAAGGAAAAAGAGUAAUUUAAAUAGAGAGGAGUAUAAGUUGGCCGCAGUUGGAUUUAAAAAGGCAAUGGAUUAUGAAGGAAAAUUUAGGGUCUUGGAGGUUUGAAAUUAAUUAAAUUUAAUAUUUAAUUAUUUAUUUUGACAAGCAAUUAAAAAUUAUUUGGCUAAAUAUUUAAAUAAGUUCUUGAAUUAUACCAAAAAGUCAAUUAAAUUUUUAUCUUUUUAUUGCAUUCAAAUAAACUCUUGGACUUUGAUUUUGAGUUAAAUAAACCCUCCUCAUUAAUUAUUGAUUAACAGAAUGCUCCCAGAAAAUGAUAGGUCUACUAACAUUCUUAGAAAAUGGUAGGUCUUCUGACAAUUUUCUAUUAAAUGCAGAAAUUGUGAUUUUUUUUUCAAUGAAGGUGGUCUUAUCAUUAAUUAUCUUGCAUUGCACAAAUAACAAUUGACAAAAGAAAGCUAGAAACGAGCAUGUUUUGAACAAGUCUGGGUUACGAUAUUUCCAAUUGAGGUGCUGUUGUUGUUGGAUAUUUUCAAUAAUAAUGAAUGUGGGAUACAAUCUCACAUUGGAAAAAUAGAAGGAAAAAGAGAUUUAAAUAGAGAGGAGUAUAAGUUCAUUGUUGUUGAACUUUAAUAGGCAAUGGGUCAUGGAUGAUUUUUUUGGAUUUAGAAGGUUUGAAGUUAAUUAAAUUUAAUAUUUAAUUAUUUAACUUUAAUAGACAAUUAAAAAUUAUUUGAUUAAAUAUUCAAAUAAGUUCCUGAAUUAUACUAAAAAAGUCAAUUAAGCACCUAUCUUUUUAUUACGUUCAAAUAAGCCCUUAGACUUUUAUUUUGGGUCAAAUAAACUUUUCUCACUAACUAUUAACUAACGGAAGUCAGCCGUACAAUUGGCAAUUUUAUACUAGAUUAUUUGCGACGUGACAUGUUGAUGUAUCAUGUUAUUUUAUAUGUGCAAAUUUAUGUUAAUUUUCAUAUUAAAGAGAAAAAUCAUCCUUCUUAAAGUGAAAUUACUUCUUUUAAAUUUGCAACACUCCUCUUCCUUAUCUCCUACCUAAGUAAAUAAUCCGUCAAAACUCUUUUUUCAGUAGAUGAAAAAAAAGAACAUUAAAAACCAUACUGAUGAACCGUCUAGGCUUGUCUGACAAUAUCUUGCUAGAAUUGUCUAGGGGCUAGAACUGCUUAGGCUUUCUAUAGAACCUGUAGUUCUAGGAUUUCUGAGAUCGGGUUUAGAGCAAAUAGAUCAAGGUUUUUGCUAGAACUAUCCAAGCUUUUGAUAGAAGUACAACAAAAUUCAACAAGAAACAGAAGGUUUAAGCACCGCGGCACUAGAAGAAAAGUAGAAAAAAAAAAAAGGAAAUAGAAGCUUUGAGUGCCGCAAUGCUCAAUCUUCAGCGCCGCGGCAUUGACACCCAAAGCAUAACACUUUGGGUGGGAAAUAGCUGAGAGUCGUGGCCUUCAAGGCAAGGGCCGCGGCGCUGGAAUGAGCCCGACCUUAGUGUUUUUUUUUACUUAAAUACAUCUUUUUCUCCUUUCUUCCCCUAUUCUUCAGCCAACUCUCUUUCCUUCCAUCUUCCUCUUGCAAAUUUCUUGCCUUUCUCACUACAAAACUUGUCUCUUAGGUCAUCAAAGUUUGAAUUAUCACUCAUUAUUCAUCCUACACUCCACAUAUUCUCUUAAGUGAGGAUUUUUUUUUCACUCUUCCUUAGUUUUUGAGAGUUUUUGAGAUUUUACUUUACUUUUACUGUUAAUACCUGUCAAUAAUUUUUAUUUCAUGGAUUUUUAGCAUAAAUAGGUAAUUUGUAUGUGGUUAAUGAUGGGUAUACCAAUGUUCUUCUUGGCUAUGGUUUGGGUUCAUAAAAUUUUGUGUGUUGGAAUUUGUGGUGAUUUUGAUCAUAGUUGUUUCGUUUGAAUAAAUAGACCUUUAUUUGAUGAAUGGUGGGUAUGUGAAAUUUGUGAUGUGAAUAAAGUGGGUCAAGAGUAUGUGGUGUAUUUGUUGUGGGAAUUUUUGUUGAUGAUGAUAUGCGAUAGUGGAAAUUUUGAACGAUGAUGCCUAUUUAUAAAUUAUGCAAUGGUUGGUUGAAUAUAAAAAAAAUUAAAAAAAAGUUUGGUGGAUGAUGAGUAUGUAAACCUCGUUGCACUUUUGGUUGGGUAAGUGGAAACAUAUUCAAUGUAGGCUGAUGCAUGUUGAAAUUCUUGAUAAUUUUGGCUAAGUGCACUUUUGUGAAGGAUGAUAGAAUUUUAUUUGCCUAAUGAUGAUUGAUGUGAAGAAUUUGGAACUUCUUGAAGAUUGUGGUGUGGAAUAGUUGAUUUUUUUGGGGUAAGAAGAUGCUAUUUAAUUAUCAGCUUGAAUUAGGUUAGUUGAAGUGAAAAUAAUUAAUUGAAUUAGUGCAUCUGGAAUUUUACUAUUUUCAUGGCUAUUUAUUUGGUAAAUCUUGUAAGUCGCACUGAUUGCACUCUAGUACUUUGGAUUUGUUUUGAUUGCUUGAAUUUCUUUUGUAGGAAUGGCACCACAACGAUCCAAACUAAAGUCCAGUUAUGUUUUUGAUCGAUCAAAGUUUAUCUCAAUCAAUGCCUUAGUGCGAUAUCAUACUUCAUUGAUCAACAAGGUGUCAAUAUCUAAAAAAAGAUUAAAUAUUCCUCUAAUUCAUUAUGAGGAGAUACAUCAGAUGAUUGAAGAACAACAUUUGGAGCGUUGUUGUGAACUGCUAAAUUUGCGAUUAUGCUUGUGGUAAGGGAAUUCUAUGCACAUGUGUUUGAGCAUGUUGAUAAUGUUGCUUUUGUAUGUGGCAAACAUGUCCCUUUCCAUAGUUGAGCCAUCAACGAAUUUUUUGGGACUCCAAACAUUGACAAUGAUGACUAUGGGCAAUAUUUGAGGGAUCAUUAAGAUUUUGACGCAAUCAUCUCGGAGCUUUGUGUUGAAGGUGCCCAAUGAAAAACGUUGCAUGGAGAGCUUGUUUCAUUUAAACAAUGUGCAAUGAAGAAUGAGUGAAAGUAUGGCUACAUUUUGUGGCGGUGAGAUUGCUUCCAUCUACUCACAUCAACGAUGUAACAAAGGAUCAUGCCAUUCUUAUUUAUGCCAUUUUGACACAUAAAUCCAUUGACAUUAGUAAGGCUAUCUGUCAUGCCACAUCACAUACGAGCCAAACCAAAUGAGAUGGUAUAGGAUUUCCUUCUUUGAUAACUGCAUUGUGUGCGAAAGCUGAUGUGUGAUGGAGUAAUAAAGAGGAGCUGCAACAUGACAUACAAGCCAAACCAAAUGAGUGGUAAGGCUAUCUCUCAUGCCACAUUACAUACGGGCCAAACCAAAUGAGAUGGUAUAGGAUUUCCUUCUUUGAUAACUACAUUGUGUGUGAAAGCUAAUGUGUGAUGGAGUGAUAAAGAGGAGUUGCAACAACCAAAAAUCACUAUCACCAUGGGCAUUAUGAGGCGAUUGGAAGAGUUUGCACCGUUAGUUGGUAGUCUUUCGCAAGCUGCUCCAUAACCUCCACAAUCGGGUCCCACUCGUAGUGUUGUUCAAUGGAUGGAACUCGUUGAUGGUCGUCUAGAACGCCACGAGAGGCAAAAUUGAGCAAUCAAAGAAAUGAUGAAGGCCUAUGUAGAACAUAUUGGAAUGGAUAUGUCUACUUUCCCUUCAUUGCCUAUGGAUUUAGACUUUAAUGAUAAUUUUGGUGGGGAUAAGGAUGACCAGUAAAUUGCAUCUAUGGCGUUAGGGGAGUAUUGUUUAUCUUUUUUUCUAUUUUUUUAUCACAUUGAGGACAAUGUUUUAUUCCAAGUUUUGGGGAGUUCUUUUAGAAUUUAUUUAGUUUGUUUUUUAUUAUGAUUAUGUUCCUUUUAAGUUAUGCUUUGCAUGAUUUAUUUAUGUUAAAAAAAUUUUGAGGAAGUUUGCACCUUAUACAUGAUUUUCCCAAUCCUAGGAUAAUAAUCUGAUUAUCUUGUGAUUCUUAGCUUUUGGGAAACAUAUGGCUAUGAUUUAAUUUUAUGUGAUAUUCUUUUGUUAGCUUUAGUUUAGAAUGUGACUUCCAAUAAUUUGAACACUAUAUUCUUUAACUUAGAAUUUUUUUGUGAUUUAGAGAAAGUUUAUGUUGAUAAAAAGUAUAGUGAAGUCAAGAAUUCUAGAAUUUGUUUAAUUCUCUCUCGAGGUGAAAUCCUAGAUAACACUUAGAAUAAGAAAUGAUUUAGGCCAUCUUUGGAACGUUCGAACCUUUUUAAGCUUACCUUGUUAUAUAAUUAUCCUUAGUCACCCCUUUUGAGCCUAAUUUACCUUUUUUUUUUUGAAUAUACACAAUUACAUUAGCCUUAGCCUUCUAUUUAAUUCCAACAGUUUGAACCUUUCACCUUUAAAUAUUUUGAUUUUUUGAGAAAGUGCAUUGAGCUUAAAGAUAAAUUGAGGGAGAAAGGUGGAAGAAAAAAGGUGAUGGGUGCUAGAAAUUAACCCCUUGUUCAUAAUUGUCAAAAAUAAGUUUGGAAGUGUAAAAAAAAAAAAAAGAAAAAGAAAAAAAAUAAGUGUGUUGUACAGAAGAAAUUUUAUUUCAAGUUUGGAAGUGCUAUAAAAAAAUAUUUUUGUUGAGCUCCUUAUAGGUCCUAGAUUGAUUAAGUGUUUAUGGUGAAUUUGAGCCUAAAUAAUAUCCUUUAUCAUACCUUGACCCUAGCCUUACAUUAUAAGCUUAAUAAAGACAUAUUGAUCCUUAAAUAAAUGUUAUUCUACAUUAGUAGAGAGAGAAAUGAAAAACAAACUUAUGGGAUUCUAAUACUAAUCUAUGUUUAGCCUUGGCAUAAACUAAUCCAAAUUGCAUGAUAUUCUUUGUAAAAAAUUAUUCACACACACACACAUGAAGUCCAUUCGAAAAAUAAGUUUUCACUUGAAUUGAUAAAUGAAUUUAAAAAUUAACUGUAUUUUACCUUAAGUUGGAAUUGAAGAUAAUUUUUGAGGGAAAAAUUAGGAAAUCAUGAUUUGGUACUUCUACCUCUAGUUAAAGUCUUUUUAACUUUAAAUGUUUAAUUUUCUUUGUUUUAUUUUCUUUUGCUCGAGGACAAGCAAAAUUUCAAGUUUGGGGGUGGGAUAAUUAUAUUUUAUAGAAUUAUUUUAGUCCAAUUUUGUUAUUAAAUAUUAGCUAAGUCCUUAAUUUUUAAUUAGAAUUUAGAUAUUUUUAUUUGUUUUUAUAAUUAGUUUAUUCUUAUCAAGUUACUUUAAUUUUAUGUUAUUUACUCUAAUUGGGCUAUUAUUUAUUAGUUUUUUUAUCCUUUUGUAGCAUUUAAGGAAAUAGGGCUUAAUUUUAGAAACUAAGGUGUUUGAAGGACUUCAAAUUCUGCUUGCACAUGCUUUAGUGUUUUGAUCAUAACUCGCACUCCAGAUGUCCAAAUGAUGCGAUUCUUACACCAUUGGAAAGUUAAGACAAAGAAAAUUGCGUCAGAAGAUGACUGGGCAUAAUGUUGCAGGAAUAGCAAUUUUAAGGAUAAUAUUUGAUGUUUGGGCCUCAUAACACUUCUAAGCCCAAUAGUUAGAGUCAAUAGGUUAAGUUAUGGAAUUUUAGGUUAAGAUUGUGAGUACGAAAAGGUUGUUUUAGGAGAAGUUAGAAAAGAUAACCUUAAGAGAUUCAAAAAGUCAAAAGUUGAGGCAAAAACUCGAAGAACAAGGCUGCAAAUAAUUGUUUUAUUUUUUUCAUUAGUUUUUAUUUUUCUUGUUACUCAAUGGUUGAAAUUCAUAUUUUUUUAAUUAUCUUUGCAAUUAUGAGCAGCUAAUUUUAUUUUCUUAGGAUUGCAAUUGAACUCAUAUGUAAUCUGAAUUUUAAUCUCUUUCUUACUUAUUUUCAAUGGAAUUGAAUUAUUUAUUUCAAUUUAUUCUUAAUGCUUUUAAUUGCUUAGCUACCAAUUAAAUUGAUCUAGGAACCUAAACAAACUUGGAAAAGGGAGUUUAGAGUAAAUUAAAAUUAGAAUAGCACAUGAUCAUAUUAAUUGAUUUAUGUAUAGGAUAGGGAUAUACCUAUAUGCCAUGUAUAGCUAGAAUUAGAGCCUGAACUUAAUUAAUCCAUUUUAAUUUCAAUUUAGAUAGGAAUAUAGUAUUUUGGUUAAAAUAAAUAUUUUUGUAAGACAAGUUGAGAGACCUUUAUAAGUAAUUGAGGACUUUAGGUUAGCAAUUCAAUCUAUUGAAAUAAGUUAAGAGAGGUAAGAUUUAGAUGAAAUGUGAGGGAUCUUAUAAUCCUAAGUUUAGUUCUAUUGAUUUUUAUCGAAUUUUAGUUUUGCUUUGAUUUUUAUCGAAUUUUAUUUCUGCUUUGAUUUUUAUUUUUGUUAAUUAGUUUUGUGAACUUCUAGUUUAAAUAAUUAUUUGCUUUUUGACCAUUUGGAUAAAAUUAAAUUAUGUUAAUUUUAAUACUUGGUAAAAUUUUUAGAAUAAUUCUCUAUGGGAUUGAUACUCUGUUUGCUAUUAUAUUACCCUCAGCGAUAUGUGUACUUGCUUGAGUAGAAUUUUAACUGACAAUGACUAGAAGAUUACAUAAAUUCCAUUCCCAAAAAAUAGGACAUUAGUCCUAAAUCAGUCAUUUCAAAGACUUUUAGCAUCUAUGACUUGACCUCAGUUAGGCAUUCAAUUUCUGGACUAGUAACUAGCAAAUAACAUAUGGUGCCACUAUAAGCUUAACUAUAUCAUUUACUUUUUUUUAUAUAGAGGGUUGCUUCAGUAGUGCUUUUGAUGAAUCCCUAGUUCAGUAAAUGAUCAUCUGCCUUUUCAUACCAAGCCCUCGGUGCUUGUUUGAGACCAUGUAGGGCCUUCACUAACUUACAAUCUUUGUUUUCAUAACCCUUUUUUACAUAUUCAACUGGUUGUUUUACAUAUAUAUCUUCCUUCAAGUAACUAUUCAGAAAAGCAGACUUUAUGUCAAAAUGAUAAAUCAACCAUCCUUCUCUUGUAGACAAAGCUGCCAGUAACCUAAUGGUGUCAUGUCUUGCAACAGGUGCAUAUGUUUCCAAGUAGUCUACACCAUAUACGUGUGUAAAGCCUUUGACUACUAGCCUGGCUUUGUAUUUGUUGACAGAUCCAUUCAGAUUCAAUUUGGUUCUAAAAAUCCAUUUAACACCUAUGACAUUGUUAUCUUUAGGCUUAUCUACCAACAACCAGGUCUUAUUUAUCCUUAUCAUUAUCAUCUCAACCUUUAUGUCUUGUUUUCGAUGCUCAUCAGUAAAAGCUUCAGCAUAAGAACUAGGUUCAAUGAAUGCCAAAUGACACCUGGCAUAUAUGUCGUCUAGGCAUCUAGUUCCUCUCAUAGGGAUCUCAUCCACCAUUUCAUCUGAGUUUAAGUCAGACUUUUUUGAGCUUUCAACAUUCUUCGAUUCCCAAAUUCCACAUCCUGCUCUCAUCAAACAUCACAUCUCUACUUAUAAAGAAUUUCAUAUUUUUGACAUCCAGGAAUCUGUACCCUUUUGAUACUUCACUAUAUCCAAGGUGGAUAGCUAAAAAAGAUUUACUAUCCAACUUGGUCCUCUUUGCAUUCUGGUAUCUUAGCAAAACAUAUACAUCCAAAGACUUUCAAAUGUUUAAUUGAGCGUUUUGUAUCACACAAGGCUUCAUAAGGUGUUUUACCAACUAGGGCUCUAGUAGGUGCCAAAUUAAGCAAAUAGUUAACAGUGUUAACUGCUUCUGCCCACAAUGACUUAGGCAACUUCUUUUCAAAUAACAAGCACCUAGCCAUUUCUAUCAAAGUUUUGUUUUUCUUCUCUGACAUACCAUUUUGUUGAGAGCUAUAUUAGACAAUAAAUUGAUGCACAAUGCCAAACUUGCUUAAAUAGUCUUUAAACUCCUUAGCAAUGUACUCAGUCCCAUCAUCACUUGAUAACUCUAUUACAUAGAGUUAUCAUACAAUUUUGUGGAGCAUGAAUUGUACUUAUUCUUUUAAUUUUCAGCAUAGUUCUUACCAAAUUUUCAUACUUUUUAGUAUGAGUUAAUUUUUAGGAUGUUUAGUGUCAUGAAAGCAAUUUAAUCUUCAUUUGUGUUAUCAAAACUCCCCUCAAUGCAACCUUUGAUCAUUCAACAUUUCUUUGAUUUUGAAGGAAUGGUGGCUGAAAGUGAAGCUGAAGAAUAGACCUUAUCAACUCUGCAUUUGGUGGCUCAAAGGAGGAGAGCAUGGUGGCAGAAGGAUCAAAGCUGCAGCAACAAAUUGUCUAGGCAGAGAGUUUUUCGUUGCAGUGAGAACUCAUUCUCGCUACAGCGAGAACAAAGCACAAAGAAGCAGAAGGAUUUUCGCUGCAGCAAGAAUCUAAUCUCGCUGCAGCGAAAAUGAGGAACUUGUCAACACCAUGCCAAAUCAACUUUGCUCGUUGCAACAAGAACACGUCGAAGAAGAGGAAUAUUCUGGGCUCGAGAUCCUAGGUCAAGGCUGAAUGAGGGGGACUAUAAAUAAAAUUCUUUGGCACAGAAAAAAAAGGAGAUUCGGAGGAGACAAUUUUUGGGCAAAAGGAGCUGAAACAAAACAGGGAAAGAAGGAAGAUUCAAGGGGAGGAGAUUAUAAAGCUGCAACAGAUUAUUUUACUCUAUCUCUCUAGAUUUGAAGCUUUCUCUCUCUCUCAUUUUAUAAACCUAUGCUCUUAUUGCUGUAUUGUGUACUCUAUUUCUUUAAAAUGCUGAGCUAAAAUCAUUCAUCUAGGAUUAUGAGUGACUUUAUUAUGUAGUUUGGAUAUUGUUUGGUUGGUAGCCUAGUCUUAAUGAAAUUUUGAUGUUUACUCAAGGUUUGAACUGAUUUUUCAUUUAAUUGACUGAUCACCAAUUAAAUACACGUAAGUAUUUAGAUGAAACUUGAAAGAGUGAAUCUAAAACGGACUUAACUUUGAGUAAUGUGUGUUUUUUACUUAAAAAGAAAUUUAGUGCUUGAAGUGCAACUAGAGUAGAAAUACACUUAGCUGCCACAAAUAGUCUACUUGGAAUAUUUAGGCUUAAAAAGCUUAGUUUAGUUGACUCUUAUAGACAUAUAGGAGGUUCAAUUAAAUUAAGUAACCUAUAUCAAAUAUUAGACUAACAUCAUUUACAUUGAGAUUAGGUAACUAACCUAACCAAUUCCAAAUGAAAUAAUAAACAAAACCAUAAUCCUAGACUAUUAGACUAUUGAUUUCAUUUCAAUCUAUCAAUUGCACCACUUAUAGUAGACUUAAUUAAUUAGGUUAUAAUUUUCUUUUCAUAGCUAAAAAAUUAGUUCCUUGGAUAAGGUUAGCUUGUGUUAAUUUUGGUAAUUAGCAGUAAUCAUUAGACCAACUCUUCGUGGAUCGACAUCCCACUCAUCACUUACUACUUGUCAUGACUGUGUACACUUGCACGAAGUCCUUGCUAGUAAUUUGCAUUCAAUUUGAGCAUAUUCAUAUAUUGCAUAAGCAAGAUUGUUAUUAUUUUCAACUAGCAACAUCACUCUUGAACUUUUUUAUAGUCAAGCUCAUGUAAUUUUCAAGCAAGUUUUUGAACUUAGUGAACACACUUAAUGCAUCAAACUUCAUUUUCAUGAAAUGUACUCAACAGAUCCUUGUAUAGUCAUCAAUAAAAAGUAUAUAGUACUUACUUCCAUUCAAGGAUGAAGUCUUCAUAGGGCUUCCAAGAUCUGUAUGUAGUAACUGCAACUUUCUUGUUCAUUCCAGGUUCUGGUUUUUAGAAAUGAAACUUUUUUCUGCUCCCUAUACCGACACACCUCAUAAAUCUUUUUAAUGUUUACCAUUAAAGGUAACCUAUCAACCAAGCUAUCAGAGGCCAUCAAUUUAAGUGAACCAUAGUUCACAUGACCAAACCUUUUGUGCCACAAUUCUAUAUCAUAUAAAGUGAAACUAUAACUAGUGUGCUUGAUUUUCAUCCAGUUUAAUGGGAAACUUUUGUUUCUUAUUCCUACUGUGAAGAGUUCUAUUACAGUUGGAUCUUUCAUAGUGCAAGCCUUGUCUUUGAAGUUUAAUUCAAAGCCUUUAUCCACAACUUGGCCUACACUCAGUAAAUUUUGACUCACAUCAGGAGCAUAAUAGACUUUUGCCACUGAUUUAAUUAUACUACAUGCUUGCACUCCUACUGUACCAAUUCCAAAGAUUAGUAGAAAAUCACCAUUUACUAUUUCCAUUUGAGUUAUAAACUCUCAUUCAAGUUGACAAAAUUCUCCUUGCAACCAGUCAAGUGGUUUGAAUAGCCACUAUCUAGUAACUAGAUGUCCUUCUUUUCUUCACUAUCUGACUUCCAAGCCAUAAACAAAACUUCAUCUUUAGCUUAAAGCUCCUCAACCACAGUUGCUUUCUCAUUAGCAUUCUUACGCUUGUUUUUGCAUACUUUUUCAACAUGUCCUUGUUGGUGACAUUUUCUACACUUAACAUUUGGUUUAAACCAACAAUACUUCUCAGUUUGGUUUGUUUUCUUGCAAUGUGAACAUGGUGGAAAUGUUUUCUUUUGAUCCCCAUGUCUUUUUUCAUCAAUUUUCUUCCCUUUAUCUUCUUACUUGCAUCAAUCCUCCUAAAGCUAUUGCUACCGGGUUUUAAAUUUUUGGUUCGCAAUUAAGGCACUUUCAAAUUGAGGAUAUUCUCUAGUUUCUACUUGAAUUUAUUCUUACCUCUAAAUUCUACUUCCUUUACACCAAAACCCUCAGGAUAUAAUUGCAUGAAUAAAUAUUGAAAAAACAAAAAAAUUUCAACAUGAUCCAUGGUGAAAACAAGAGGACAAGUACCUAUUUCAGAAGCGGCAAGUCAGAUAUAAAGGUCUUACCCAUUCUGCUCCAUAUCUCUCAUGUCUAUCAGAUCACUAAACAACAACGGGCAUCCACUUCCCCCCUCUUUGAUAUCUGGAUUUGUAUAUGCAAUGCAAGCGUAAUCAUUCAAACAUAACUGCUUACAUUCUUUGAUGUUCAUGGUUAUUUUAACCUUCGAAUGGGAUAUGUCUAGCAAUUUUAAACCCGAGCACUUAAGAAAGCCAUCUCCAUUGUUACAAGUUAAUGGAGUUCUUCUAAUACAUCCAUCACACCAAUCUGUUGAAUUCUACUUUUCGAUGGAUUUGGGCAUGAACCCUUCAAGCAUGAACACACAAAAGUGUCAUUUCCAUUGUAGCUAGCAUAUUUUCCACAAAGGGCAUAAUUUUCACACUAAUCAAAGGACAUCGCUAAAAACUCCCAAUCGUGUAUUUGAUCACUCCAUAUAAGGUGCUGAGAAAAACAUGGUGGGAUCAGCACGAACCUUAAAACUAUCGAACUAUUUAUGAGCUCAUUAGCAGAAUAUACUUAAUUCUUAAUCCACACAAAUUCAUUUUUGUAAUUGUAUUCACUUUUAUCUGAAGCCCUAGAAAGCCAACACCAUUCCAUGGUCCUGCUUUAUGCUUUAUUUUAGAUCCCUUCACAAGUAUUAGUUGUAGAUAUCCACUAAUAUACAUACGUGGAAAGUAUUCGCCUAGAGCAGGACCAUUUGUGCUUUUCCAGCAUUGCAGAAACCUCUCAAAAUCUAUAACCAAGUUCUUUCCAAUUUUCAUUCCCAAAAGAAAUGUAUCGCAAGGAAAAUCAAAAAUUUGCCACAGAUUUUCCUCAACUGGGUUGUUGUCUUUACCAUCACUCAUUACAAGAUUUCCUAUGUUUAGAAGUUGAUUCCAUGGUUGGAGAAAAGUAAGAUUCUUUUGUUAUCAGAAUUUUGUUAUCAGAAAUAAGAGACCCUCUAAUUACGACCCAAACAAUUGUUCCAUUAGAUACUUUCUUGUACCAUAUUCCUAAAAAUCAACUUGUGGAGCUUACUCUAAGGUUGAAAAAUCUCAAUUUAAAGCUCCCAUCAGUUGAACUAGAGUUUCACCAUCUUUAAGGAUUGACUUGGAAGGAGAGUAUUUAUUGCAGCAAUAGUCCUUGAGAUGUAGAAUACAAAUAAACAUACAAAAAGUAACAUUGAAACACCUUCCAUUGAUUAUCUGUUCACUCUUUUCUUCAAGUUCUGAAUAAUCUUUUGAAAAAAAUUUAGUAUACUAUCUAACAACCUGAGAUACAAAAAAGGAAACUCUAAAUCAUUGAUAGGUCUACAGGAAGUUUUCAUAAAGAAUGAAAGUCGUGAUAUUUUUUUUUAAAGAAAGGUGGGCUCAUCACUGAUAGUUUUAUAGAAGCAAGAGACACAUUGAACUCAUUAGGAAUAAUAUCUAAAAAAAAUCUUUAAAUUAUUUUUAAAAAAUUAAAUAAGUUUUUAUUCUUUUAUUGUAUUUAAUAAAACUCUUAUAUUUCUAUUUUAAGUUAAAUAAAAGUUAUUAUAAUUAAUAUUUGACUGAGUCAAAAUGCCAAUUAUCAUUCUAUGCCACGUUAUGCUUAUGCAUAUGUUGAUACCUAAUAAUGGAUGAUGAUGAUGUGGCAUCUUAACGUGGCAUAAUGAAAUGAUCAUGCAGUAUUUUCACUUUCCAUAUCAAUGCUGCAUGAGAAUAAAUAACAAAUAACAUUUUAAUUAAUGAUAAUUAGUUAGCCACUAGUCAUAAGAGUUUAUUUGAUCCAAAAUAAAAUACAAAUGUUUGAUUGAACACAAUAGAAAAAUAAGGGUUUAUUUGAAUUUUCUUAAAUAAUUCAUGAGCUUUUUUUAGUAUUAUGUCAAUUUGUUACUAGAAAAUAAUUCUUGUAAUAUAAAAUUGUGUAUAUUACAUAAGUGAAUGAGGUAUAUGAAUUUUCUUGUAAAGAUAGUGCAAACUACCUGGCAACAAGACCAAAGCCAAUUUCAGAAAUUUUUUACACUUUUCUUGAACUGAGAGUGUUGAGCUUUAUAAGGAUGGAAAGCCUAUUGGGUAUAGUUUUCAAUCCAUUAAACGAAUCUUGAUUUUGAGUUUUGUAGCUUAGGAUGUAGUCAUUUUAACGAGUGAUGUGCAAGCUAUCCAGAUUAUGAUUUAGGAAAUUUUAGAUUAUUUUACAUAGUUUCAAGUGAUAAUUAGAUUUUAGAGAGUUAAGAUUAUUUCUAAUAUGUUUAAAUGAUUGUUAUUAGGCUUUUGAUUAUUUUUGGGAGAAAGCAUGUUGCUCGAGUGAAGGAAGGUACAAACCUUGCUUGUUUUAAAAUUAUCGUAUAUGUAUAUUUCUUGAAACAUUUGAACAUUUUAUUUCAUUAUUUUCAAUAUAUGAUUAUAGAGUCAAACAUAUAAUUAUUAUCUUUUUUUGGUGUGUAUUCAUAUGAUGAAGAGUGAUUUACAAAUGUUUUAGUUCAUUCAUAUGAUGAAGAUUGAUUAUGAAUGCUUUGGUUUAUUCAUAUGAUAAAAAUUGAUUUAUGAAAGUUUUGGUUUAUUAAUAUGACGAAGAUUGAUUUACAAAUGUUUUGGUCUAUUCAUACGAUGAAUACUGAUUGAUGAAUUUGAUGAAAUCUUCAAUUAUCUUUUAAUGAAUGUUUUAAGAGCUAUGAAAUGAUCCUUGGAAAGUGAGGUAAUCAAUACCAAAACUACUUCUGUGGUCCUAUUAACGGGUUAUAGUAAUUAGUAUAUGGCCUAGUUAAUGAGUUACAAUAGUUAGCAUAUGGUCCCAUUAAAGGUUACAGUAGUUAGCAAACAACACCGCUAAUGGAUUAUAGUAAUUAGCAUUCAACAUCGUGUCACAUUCCAUUUUAUAGAGGGAUCGUGACCGGCAUAUGGACCUAUAUAGGUAUAGCUCGCUAAGCCAAAGCAAACCUCCUUACAUUCAUCCAUUCAUAACUUUGCCCAUUUAUCAUAAUCAUCAUACAUAAAAGCAUACAAUAUCAACACAUGCAUGCAUCCAUAGGCAACUAUACACAAUUAUGGAACUUCUCAAAAUAAAUAGUGUGAGUGCAUUAUUAUCAUCAUAGUUCCAUAAUCUCAUGCAUUGUACCAUAUAACAUUCAUUUACACCUUUAGGUGUCUAUAUAGGCUCUCAAACCACCUUUGCACAGGAAAAGUAAAGACCGACUCGUGAAUGGAACAUGACCUAACUCUUUAACCAUCAAGUGGUUGUUAGACACCUAUCAAAGAAAGAAGACCAAGAGUUGGUCUUCACGAUAAAGUAAGUAAACUACUGACUGAUCUGCAAGACAAAAGUAGGGAAAAUAACAUGUACUUGUAAUCACAUGUCAUUCAUAAAUCUUGUAAUCACAUUUCAUUCAUAAAUCUGUGAGUGGAUACAGGGAACGGGACAAGCCAAGGGUGAGAGUUUUUCAUAACCAUGCACUUGUAAUCACAUGUCAUUCAUAAAUCUUCCAUCAUUUUCAUAAAUAUCAUGAAAAUGGCAUUUAAAUACAUUCUCAAUAGCAUUUAAGUGAAAACAAGUUUGUAUAAUUCAUUAGAAACUAUUAACCUUUGAUAAUCCUUUUAAAAACACUUGAAAACUCAUUUUUGUGAAAAAUCUAUUGAUACAUUAGAAAUGUAUUGAUACAUUUUACAUAAAAUGCCUCUUUUUGCAUUCUAUCCAAAAUGUAUCAAUACAUGUUCUUCAUGUAUCAAUACUUUAGGCACAAAAACCAUUUUUUGUAGGUAAAAUCCUACAUAUAACCUUUCCUUAUGUCUUGCUAUCUCAUAGGGCUAUCCUUUUGGGCUAGAAUUCAACUAACCAAACUUUCAUUUGUCACAUUCUAGCGUAUGUCUCCUCAUUAAUAGACAUUUAAUCAAAAACAUAAAAUCAAGACCAUUAAUACAUAGAGCCAUUCUAAUAAGCGAUAAACAUUUCAUAACUUUUGAGUAGUCCUUGUCCCAUUCAAGCAGGUAAUUAUUUAAUCCUCACAACCUAGGAUUCUUAGUGCGUUCUAUGAGUAGCAUAUCAACUUCACCCACAAUCUUUGAGUGGUUUCGCACCAACUCAAGCAAAUAGUGAUUAAUCCCCCACUAUCGUCAUAGGAUUUCUCAAGUAUAAAAUUGUUCUCAUCCAUGACUUGCAGCAUAAAGUAAAAUCAUUCUCAUGCUUAGCCUAUAGUGUAUAUGAAUUCUCAGCGCAUACAUCUCAUGGCAUACAUUUUAUAUUUUAUCUCAUAAAUUAUUCUCGUGCCUAGCCCAUGGUGUACAUGAUAUUCUCAACACAUACAUCUUAUGGCAUACAUUUCAUAUCUUAUCUCAUAAAUCAUCAUCAUAUCAUAGGAGGGAAAUCAUCAUCCUCCAAACCAAUCAUCAUACAUAACAUGCAUUUCAUAGUUGUUCAUAAUCUCAUAAAUGGAACUUAUGCGUCCAUCAACCUUUACAUGCUACAUUAUGUCAAUCAUGUACAUUAUACCAUUCAUAUCAUUUUGAAGAAAAACAUUUGAAAAGGCUUGUCCCACAUUGUUGAAAACUAAUACAUAAUAGGAUAUUUACAUACACAGUAGACUCGCAAACAAUUUGAAAAUCAUUUGUGUUAACUCACACCAUAAAUCAUCAUUAAAUCAACUUUUUAAUCAUACCUUUCGAAAACUAGUUGAAAAACCUUGAACUCAAAUCCUUUGACAAACCAUUCUUUGAAACAACAUUUUAUCAUGCAUAAUCAAUCAUUGCCAUAAAAAUCACGCUCACUUUACAUAUUAAAAUACUUGAAAAGGUGUAUCCACUCACCUAAUUGAAGACUCGAUCUCUAGCAACAAUCAAGACUCCACUCUAGCAUUCGCCUCGAAGUUUUCAACUAUUCUUAACAUUCAACAAUCAUUACAAUCGAUAUCUAGAUUUAUAAUUUUAUAAUAACCAUUCUAGAUUUUUUCGAAACUAAUCAGAUUCAUCGAAAACUAAUUUUCUAGCUUAAACCCACUGUUAUUUAACAUAAUAAAUCCUUAGGAACCCAUCAAUCCUUUAUCGUUACCUUAGGUGAACUUUAGUGUUAAGGGAAAUUACAAAACAUUUGAGCUUUGGUAAUCAAAUGAAAAUAUGGGCAUAAAAACAAUAUAUUUUUAGUUCUGAAAAAUCAACAUUUAAAGGUUUCAAAGUUAAAAAAUGUUGCCUUGUUCAUAAAACUUAAAACCAAGUUUUCAAAUCUUCAAAAAUGGUGACUUGGGUGAAAAAUGGGUGUAAGAGGGUUUAGAGGUGAGGGAAUACUUGAUAAAAAUAUUUGAGGUAAAAAAUCCUUGUAAAAAUGUGACCUAUUUAUGCUUAAGAGUGUGAAAAUACAAUUUUGCCUUUUUUAUUUUUCUGAAAACAACGAAAUGUAUCGAUACAUUGGUUUUUGAAAAAUUUCUAUCAAUACAUUUGGCCAUGUAUCAAUAAAUGUUCAUCGAAAUCCUUUUGGAAAGCUUUCUAGACUAAAUCUAUCAAUACAUAUGGCCAUGUAUCCAUAAAUAUUCUUCAAACUCUUUUUUAAAAGUAUUCUAAGUUGAAUUUAUCGAUACAUAAAGAACAUGUAUAGAUUUGCUUCAGUAUGUAAAAAUACACUUAGAAACUUGUCCAAAUGGAUUUCUUUUAAAAUCCAAUCUUGCCAAACAUAAUAACAUUUCAAAACAUAAAAUUUUCUAAGGUUAGAAACCGAAUUUAUUGUUUCAAAACAAUAAUUUCACAUGUUCAUCCAAGGAUUUUAUUAACUAAUCCUCUUACUUAAGGUGGGAUUUCACAUCCCACUAUUGGGUUAUAACAGUUAGCAUAUGACACUACUAACACGUUAUAAUAGUUAGCAUACAUUCCUACUAAUGGGUUAUAAUAGUUAGUAAUGAUCAUGAGAAUGAUAUUGUCGAUAUGGUCCUAUCACAAGUUAUAGUAGUGACAAUAGCUAAAAAUGAUGAAACUUUAUAACUUUUAAAGAUUGAAUUUAUGAUUUGUUCAAACGAUAUUUGAAGAAUAACAUUUGAUAGUCAAUAAUUUAUAAACUUAUGAAAUUGUUUGUUUUUGGAUAUAAUGGUACUUUGACGAUAUGAAAGCAUGGUUUAUUGAAAUGCUCUUAAAUGAUUUUAUAUGAUAUAUUGAAAAUGAUGCUUGAUCCAGUAAGGUGUGUGUAGUUAUACUUGUUGAACUUUGGUUUGAUCAUUCCUUUAUUUACAGUUUGCAAAUGACUAGAGAUGAGAGAUUCAGAAUUAUGGAAACUAAGAAAAUGAUCUGAGAUGCCUACUUUAGUAUCAAGACUUCAUUAGUUAUGUUGAAACUCUUAUCAUGUGCAAUUGAUAUUUUAAGUUUCUAGUUGUUUAAUUUAUCAUCUUGAAAGCUUUAAUUGGAUUGUAAUAGUUAUAUAUGUGAAUAUGUAAGAAUGGAAUUGUUAGUAUAACUUCAAUUGAGGAUUUAAAUAUAGAUGAAAUAUAGAAAGGCUUAAGGAUGGCAACGGGUACCCUAUUAUAGGGUACCCGCGAGUACCCGACCUGGUUAUAUUGGGUUAAGGUACCUUAUAAUCUAGUUUGGGAUGGGUUCAGGAUCUGAUUUCACUAUUCGUAUUGGGUUUAGGUAGGGUUUAGGAACUACCCCUUGGGUACCUACUACCUGAACUUGAUUAUGUUAAUAUUCGGGUUACACAGGUACCCGCCCCGAACCCGAUCCUAAUAUCCGUUUAUAUAUAUUUUAUUGUUAUUUAAAUGAUUAAAUUAAAAAAAAUCAACAUUAAUAUAUUUAUUAAAAACUGAUAAAUAUAUCAAAAAGUACGGUUAUUCAAAUUAUUAAUGUGAUGACAUUAAUAUAUUUAAAUUAAAAAAUUAUUAGAUUAUAAAUUAUGUUUAAAUAAUAUGAAUAUCAUAUCAUAAUACAAAGAAAUAUAAUUACUAUUAUUUAUAUACUUUAAACAUAAAUAUAUUUACUUUUUAUUUUGUGUUAACAUUACAAAAAUUAUAACUUAUUAAUAUAUAUACUUCAAAAGAGUCUUUGAGAUUAGAAUAGUUUUGGAAUAUAACUAUUUUUUUAAUUUCAUGUAAUUAAAGACAAACCCAUAUAGUUAAUUAAAUUAAUUCAUUAAACUAUGAUUAUUAAUUAACUUAGAAUGUUUUUUAAUAUAUACAUUGUAUAUAUUGGGUUCAUUUAUAAGAAAUAUAAUUACUAUAUUAUAUAUAUAUACUAAUACUUUUAGUAUUUAUAUACUUUAAAUAUAAUAUAUUUACUUUCUAUUUUAUAUUAACAUUACAAAAAUUAUUAAAUUGUAAAAUUAUUAAUUAAAAUAUAUACACCUUUAUUUAUAUAAACUUAUAAUAUACAAACCUUAAAAGAAGUUGUGAGAUUAGAAUAGUUUUGAGACCUUAUUAUUUUUUUUAAUUUCAUGUAAUUAAGGACAAACUCAUAUAAUUAAUUAAAUUAAUUAAUGAAACUAUGAUUAUUAAUUAACUUGUAAUGUCUUUUAAUAUCUAUACUUUAUAUAUAUUGGGUUCAUUUAUAAGGAAUAUAAUUUCUAUUAUAUAUAUACACUAAAAUACUUUUAAUAUAUAUAUUCUUUAAAUAUAAAUAUAUUUACUUUUUAUUUUAUGUUAACAUUAUAAAAAUUAUAACUUAUAAAAUUAUUAAUUAUAAUAUACAUAUAUACACACUUUAUAUUAUAUAACUUGUAAUGUCUUUUAAUACAUACACUUUAUAUUAUAUGUUAUUUUCAUUUAUAAAGAAUAAAAUUACUAUUAUAUAAGUUAAUAAUUAUUAAAUAAUAAAAUAAUAUUGAUUUAUUUUAUAUAUUAUGUUCAUUUAUAAACACACUUUAUAGUUUUUGAUUAUUUAAAUUUAAAUUUUAUUAUUUGUGUUUUUAUUAAUUUAAUUAGUAGUUAAUUUAAGAAUUAUGUAAGAAAAAUGUUAUUGUAUAUGGAUACGGGUUCGGGUUCAGGUAAUUGGGUACCCAUGAAGAACAGUUUAAUAAAUUUUUUUAUCUAAUCGGAUUUUUAAACUAGUUAGAGUAAUUAUAUGGUAGUGGGAAUGUAUUAGGAAUAGGGUUAGGAUAGUAAUUUUUAAAAUUAUUUGAGUAGUUAAUAGGGUUAUGAUAUUUGAUUUUUUAUAGGGUUAGGGUUCAAAUAUCUCGAAAUUAACGGGUAUACUACUCAUUGACAACCCUAGAAAGGCUUCAUAUUACUUUGGGACAUAGUCUCAAGAGGUAAUAUAGCAGUGUUAUGUCCUUGUUUUAGGACUUCCAUGUUAAAAAAAAAAACUCUCGUAUUCCAAAAUUGUAUAUAUUACAUAGGUGAAUGAAGAACAUAUUUAUAUAAAACUAAUCCUAUUCAUAAUCUAACUCUAACUAACUAACAGGAUUCUCUUAACUAGAUAUUGUAGUUUAAUUAAGUAAUAGGUAAUAAUAUUGUAUUAUAACUCUUAUUAAAUAAUUUGUAUAAUUAUCUUAACAGAAUUUAUAUUCAAUAUUUCCCUGCGUUACUCAAAGGGAAUUUUCAAAGUCUAUGGUUGUGGCCCGUAGACUAUUGAUUGACAAAGAAAUAUGAAAACCAAGGCUUUGAACAAGUUUGGCUUAGCUAUUUCGAUUGCAGUGCUGUUGUAUUUUUUUAUAUGAAAGAAGGUUUCACUUCCUUUUGGUUUGCCAAUUCAAUUACGAAGUCUUCUCUUCUCACUUGUGCAUAGAUUACUAAUAUCAAAAUCUAGCAAGACCUCACAAGUCCCUCAUCAAUCAAGAUUUUCCUUUUCCAUUAAUAUGCGAAUAUGUAAGAAGGGAAUAUAUAAGAAUGAAUGAAAGGUAGAAAAGCUUUGUAUUAAUUUGGGAAUUUAGUCAUGGUAAUAUGAUUGUGUCAUGUCCUAAUUUUAAGGCAUAACAAUCAUGUUACAAAAAAAGAAAACUCUAGCAUUAUAAAAUGAUAACAUAUAUUUAUAUAAAAGAUUAGCCUAUUCAUUUAGUAGAUAUAAUUAACUAAUAGUAUUCUCUAAACUAUAUAUUGUAAUUUAAUUAGGUAAUAGUAUUGUAUUAUAACCUAAUUAAAUAAUGGUAUAAUAUCUUAACAUAAUUGAUAAUAUAGAAUUACCUAGCUAGCGUUUCUCAAUGGGAAUUUUCAAAGUAUAUGGUUGUGGCCCAUAAAAAACAAGGUUAUGAACAAGCUUGGUGUAACUGUUGAAUUUUUUUUUUAUACGAAAAAGGGUAUUGCUUAAUUUUGGGUUGUCAAGUUCCCCGUCAAUCAAGAUUUUCCUGUUCCGUAAUUGAACAUAAUUAUAUAUUAUAUAUGUGAAUAUGUAAAAAUUAAGGGAAUUGUAACUAUAACUUCAAUUGAGACUUAUCUAUGAAUGAAAGAUAGAAAGGUUUCAUAUUACUUUGAAACUUAGUCUCGAGAUUAUAUAAAUGUAUUAUAUCUUGAUUUCAAGACAUAACAAUCAUAUUAUAAGAAAAAAAUAUCUUAUAUUAUAAAAUUAUUUAUAAAAAAUAAUUUUAUUCAUAAUCUAACAAUAAUUAACUAACAAUAUUCUCAUAAUUAGAUAUUGUAGUUUAAUUAAAUAAUGGUAUUGUAGUUUAAUUAAAUAAUGGUAUUGUAUUAAAACUCUAAUUAAAUAAUUUAUAUAACUAAGGGAAAAAUAUGAGAAAAAUCAAUAACCUUAAAGGCUUAAAGUACCCAAAUAUUCAAAUGAGACUUUUUUUUUAUUGAAAUUAAGAAAAAAAUUUUACGGUCAUUGAUUGGAAAUAGAAGAAACAAUUGAGAAUUAUUAGCAUCAUGGGAAUUGGGAAGAGAUAAAAAAAAUUUAUUAGGUAUAUAAUUAGGAAAGUAAGAAAAUAUGUCAUUCUAUUAAUUACCUUGACUUUUACAUAAUUAACGAAGUGAGAUAAAUAGAUGAGAAUUAUUAACAUGUGAGAGGUGAGAGAAAAUAGAUUUUUUUAAACAUCUAAUUUAAAAAUAUUUUAUUAAUUAUCUUAAUUUUUAUAUAUUUUUAAUAAUAAUAAUUAUAUUAUAUUAUUAUAAAAAAGAAUUAAAAAAAAGGAAGGAACGGGAAAAUGAGAAAGGGAAGAAGAAAGAAAGAAGUCAAAAGGCCUUUUGGAAAAGAAAAGGUAAUUUUUUGACCUCUUCUUUUAUAUUUAAGCUCACUUAUUUUACGUAUUUUGCAUGAACUUACUUUUUUAUUGAAAAAUUAAAAUGUAUUGGCCCCAAUGGAGUUCGUGGAGGAGCCUCAAUUUCAACACAUAUGCACUGCCCAAGGCACUAAUGAAAAUAUUACAAUGCUGAAAUUGAAAUGAUUCCUGCAAAUUUAAGCAUUCACAUUGAAUUAAUGAUGCCCGGGUUGGACUUAGGCCUACUCUACAAUUUGGAGUGACUUCAAUAUUUGUUUAACAAUGAAAUUAUGGAACUUGCUUGCUUAGUGCAGACUCAGUUGCAGGAGGCAGAUUUCUUUCCAAGAAAAAGCCAGGCUGCUUCGGAUGAGGCAAUGUACUCUCACCGCACAACAUGAGCAGAUGGAAUCACUGACGAGAUUAAAAAGGUACAGGAAAGCUUCUUGAUAAUGUUAAUGUCAAACAAUUUCCAAACAAAUUCCACGAAAAAGCUAAUCAUAUAUAUAAAUAUAUAUAUUUUAAUGUUAAAAGUUCUCACAGGACUCAGCUACCGUAAAGCUAACCAUAUAUAAAAAACAAAUACACAUAACUAUGAAGGCUUGAAUUAAAGAAUAGUAUAGGAAUAGCUAGCUUUGCACAAAGUAUUGCUUGAUUUACUCAGAGAUUAUACAUGUAUCUUCAUGUUUGCUUAAUCUUACGUUUUUAUUAAACUCCAUGAAAAAUAUAUAGUUCUCUCUCGUCCAUAAAUCAUACAUCCCUUUGAAGUUUUGAAUCUAAAUCCGCGAUUUUAAAAAGUCAAUUUCCGUAAUUCAUGCAAGUAUAUACAUAUUUUUUAUAUUUAUUAAAAUCAAAGCAAACAAAAUCAUUUUGUGUUUUACAUGUGAUUUUCGAUUAUAAAGAAAAAACGUAAUUGAAUUUCCAAGUCAAUUUCAAAUUACUAGUUUCCUAUCCUUUGUUUUCAACAUUACCUGCUGUAAGUUUCCUUCACUGUUAGAUUAUUAACUUCCGUAUUUACAUCAUAAAUAAAUAAACUACUUAUUUAAUUUGGAUUAUUUUUUUAUUUGUUGAGAAGGAAAUUUAUUAAAUUAUCCUCAAUUAAGGUGGUCGUUAUAUAAACUUAUUUAUGAAACUUAUAAUUUCAGGGUCCAUGUAUAAAAUAAUAAUUAAAAACUCUUAGAUUUAUGGUCAUGCUCAUGCGGUUAUGUUUUGGUGUAGUGAUGUCACGUGAUUAUCUUGUUUCAUAGUAAUCCAAUUGUCAUAAUAAUAAUUGUGUUUUGAUAAGAUUCUUUAAGACACCAACAAAAACUAGUCAACUUUAAUUAAAAAUUAAAUAAGUAUGAGUAUUUGGAUUAAUCACUUUUAAUAUUUUCGGGGUUCAGAGAGAAGAAAGAUAUUGCUCAAGCAUCCUGAAGGUAAUUAAAUACAAAAUGUGAUGCCUGCAAAUCUUAGCUCAUCACUGUGAAAAUGGAGUAUCAUCUCAUCCAUUCCUGUUUUCUUCCUGAUCAGGUCUUAACAACCAAGCUGCCCCUACCUCCACUUGUCAAGUGACAAAUCCAACUACCGUGGCUCUAACAGGGUAACGGUGCACUCAUUUGCAGAAGAUAAUUUACAGUUGCUUGUUGAAGACUCAGCUUCAGGCAGAUUCCUCCCUGUGAAAAACCCUGGCUGCUUUGGUUGAGGCAAUGCACUUUCACUGCCUAGCAUUACAAUUACAAAAGACAUGUUUGGUCUAUCUUCUGGUCGUUGCUGCACGCACAAUAAUCCCACAUGAAUGCAUCGCUGCACUUCAGAUGGCAAGCAGAAGUCCCUAAGAGUUUCAUCAAUCAGUUCCAUUGGCCUCCUUUCUGUCCAUAAUCUCCAUGCCUGAAAUUUCAAAAAUUGAGAAUCAUGAUUUCUGCCUUGGAAAUUCAACAUGGUUAACAAUCUCAACAUUUAACCUUACAUGUCCGAGAAGAUUAUGAUCAUGAUCUGGGUGGGAAAAUCCCCUGUUCUUCUUUCCACUUACUAUCUCAAGGACAAGAACCCCAAAGCUAAAGACAUCAGAUUUCAUUGAGAAAACACCAUCAAUGGCAUACUCGGGAGACAUAUAGCCACUGCAAAUAUGUUGUGAAAACAAUUUAAUAGCAACAUAAAGGAUAGCCAUAAAGAAAGAUUUGAUUUACUUUGUACUUACUAUGUUCCAACCAGUCUAUUUGUUUUGGCCUCAGUUUGCUCUCCCCAAAUUGUUCUAGCUAAGCCAAAAUCUGAAAUUUUUGGGUUCAUUGCAUCAUCCAGUAAAAUGUUGCUAGACUUGAGAUCUCUGUGGAUUAUUCUAAGUCUAGAGUCUUGAUGAAGAUAAAGAAGUCCUCGAGCAAUUCCACCAAUAAAAUUCAUUCGUUUACUCCAGUCUAGUAGUUUGCUUCUUGUUUGAUCUGAUUCAGUUCCCCAUGUUAGCCAAACCACUAAUAGAAUCGUUGAAGAAAAAACAUCAGAAAAAGAAGAUUCUGAAACACGAAAGGAAUAGUAAAGGACCAAACCAAAAAUAAAGUAGUCCAAACUUUUGUUGGCCAUGUAUUCAUAGAUUAACAACUUUUCAUCUCCUUGAAUGCAACAGCCAAGAAGCUUUACAAGAUUGCGGUGCUGAAGUUUGGCAAUCAAAAUAACUUCAUUUUUGAAUUCUUUCAGUCCUUGUCCAGAAUUCUUUGACAGUCUCUUUACUGCUAUUUCUUGCCCCUCUUCCAGUGUACCCUUAAGACCAUAACAAAUAAAUGUUUUACUUAAAAAGAAAUAUAUGCUGCAGAACUUGAAUAAAGCCCCCGUAGCAUAGUAUUCCUUUACCUUGUAUACUGGUCCAAAUCCACCUUUUCCCAGCAAGUUAUCGACAGAAAAGUUAUUUGUCGCAUUUGCCAUGGUCCCAAAAGAAAAUAACGGCAAUUCCAUCUCUUCCUUCUACUUUUCAUCAGAGUCCAAUGUGUGAUUCUUUCUUGUCAAUCCUGAAACGACAAUAUAUGCCAGAUAUGUGGCCUUUGCUUAAGUUUCAACAUAAGUAAUCAAGUUUAUUUACCUUUCUUAUUACGUUUCCUCCAUCGUAUACACAAGACAGGUAGUAUCAGCGUUCCCAUUCCUAUUAUGACAGACCCGACUAUAAUUCUUACUCGCUUUUUCUCCCAGGACUGCCUUUUUGGUACAAUUUUGCCUGAAAGAUUCGAGAUGAAGUCAGAGAUAUGGAUUGCAGUUUUGGUGCGAUUUUAUUAGAAUAAAUAAUUCUGCAACAGGCAAACUGAUACUGUACAAACUUUGGAAUGCACAAGGAAAAGCUUUAAGAGAAAUAAGGAGUGGAAAAAGCAACAAUAUCCCCUAUUUUCUUCCUUCUUUCAUGAGCAAAGUACCUGAAAAAUGUUCUCUGUUUUCUACUCUUAUUGAUUCUUACCUCUAAAUCCUACUUCCUCUACACCAAAACCCUCAGGAUAUAAUUUCAUGAAUAGAUAUUGGAAAAAAAAAGAAAAGAUUUCAACACGAUCCACGGUGAAAAGAAGAGGACAAGUACCUAUUUCAGAAGCAGCAAGUCGAAUAUAAAGGUCUUGCCCAUCCUGCCCCCAAUCAUCUCUCAUGUCCAACAGAUCACCAAACCACAGCAGGCAUCCGCUUCCCCCCUCUCUGACAUCUGAAUUGGUAUAUGCAGUGCAAGAGCAAUCACUCAAACAUAACUGUGUACAUUCUUUGAUGUUCAUGGUCUUGUUAACCUUGGAAUGGGACGUGUCUGGCAAUUUCAAACCCGUAUGCUUGUGAAAGCUAUCUCUUUUGUUACAAACCAAUGGAGUUCUUCUAACACACCCAUCAUACCAAACUCCUGAAUUCCACUGGAGAGUCAUUUCCAUUGCAGGUAGCAUAUGCUCCACAAAGGGCAUAGUUCGAACACUGAUCAAGAUUUGACGCUGAUAAAGACUCCCAAUCACGUAGUUUAUCACUCCAUAUAAGGAUCUGACCAAAGCCUGAUGGGUUCAGCAUGGUCCGAGUAACUACUGAACUGUUUUUUGGCUCACUAGUGUAAUAGACUUCAUUCUCAUUCAACUCAAAUUCAAGUUUGACAGGAAGUAUUGCAUUCGCUUUCAUCCCUGUAAAGUGAAGACCAUUCCAUGAUCCUCCUCUGUACACUAUUUUAGAUCUCUUCUCAAUUACUAGUUGUGGAUAUCCACUGAUAUUUAUACGUACAAAGUAUUGGCCUGGAGCAGGAUCACCAGAAUUUUUCCAGGAUGACAGAAACCUCUCAAAACCUGUCACUAAGUUCUUCCCGAUUUUCAUUCCUGGAAGCAAAGUAUCACAAGGAUAAUCAAAACUCUGCCAUAGAUUGUCUUCAGCUGGGUUGUUGUCUGUUCCAUCUUUUACUACAAGAUUUCCUGAGUUGAGAAGAUGAGCAACAGGUUCUUGUGCAGUUUUUGAUGUAUGAGAUGACCAAACAGUGCUAUUUGUGCUAUUCAGAAGCGAAAGAAUUCCAUGGUUGGACAAAAGUAAGACUCCUUUAUCAUCAGAAAUUGGAGUUUCUCUAUUUGCCACCCAUACAACCGUUCCAUUAGAUACUUUCUUGUACCAUAUUCCUAAAAAUCGACUUGUGGAACUUAUUGUAGGGCUGAAAAAUCCAAGUUCGAAGCUCCCAUCAGCUGAGACCAGAGUUUCACCAUCUCUAAUGGAUUGACUUGGAGACAAAGUAUCUACUGCAUUAGCAGUCCUUAAGAUGGAGAAAACAAAUAAAUAUACAAGAAGUAACAAUGAAAUGCCUUCCAUUGAUUUUCUCAUGUUCACUCUUUUCUUUAAGUUUUAAAUAAAUCUUUCGGAAAAAAAAUUCAGGAUACUAUUAAGACAACCAGAAAUACAGAAAGGGAAGCUCCAAAUCAUAGAUGGGUCUACUGGCAGUUCUCGUAAAAUAUGAAACCUGUGAUUUUUUUAACGAAGGUGGGCUCGCCAUUAUAGUUUUUCCUUUGGAUGGAAAAAGGAGAUGCAUUGCAUUGCAUUGAUAAUACAGAAUUCCCCUGCGUUACUCAAGCGGAAUUUUCAAAGUCCCCUGCGUUACUCAAGGGAAUUUUCAAAGUCUGCAGUUGCGGUCCAUUGACUAAUGAUUAACAAAGAAAUCUGAAAAACAAGUUUGUGAACGAGUUGUUCCAAUUGAAGUGCUGUUGUAGUUUCUUAUAUGCAAGAAGGUUUUGCUUUCUUUUGCUUUGCCAAUUCAACUAAUUAGUCUUGUCUUGUCACUUUUGCACAUAUUUUUUUUAUUUUACCGAGUUCUGUGUUCUCAAAGUGAAAAGUUGAAGCUGAGAUGAAUUUUUCCGGAUAAUGGAGAUGGAAGAUGACAAAGAAAAUCUUGAAUGUUUCAAAUUUCUUGAGCUCCUUACUAUGGCUUCAAGUUUUUCAUGUGAACAAUCAAGAUCAUUCUGAUCUAGUGUAAUGACCUAGGUUGGGUCACUCGCCCAACAACGUUUUGUGAUCACGUCAUUGGUUUCAACUUUCAUAUAGACACUCAAUUCUUUAAAGUCUUCUUCAAAAUCACUGCAGCGAGCUUAAUUCUUAUAUGAAUUGAAACUAACAUGCAAAUGCACGUGUGGUGAACAAGUAGUAAAGUGAUAAGUAUAAGUGUCAUCUUACAAGGAGUUGGCUACAAUUCUUCAGUAAGUAUUAAAGUUGAGUCAAGCUAAUCUUAUCCAAACUAACCAAAGUAUGGAAUAUGAUUAAAAACAAACUAAUUAAUUAAGCCAAUUAAAGACAUGCAAGGUGAAAUAAUCUGGAAGCAAUAGUUUAAAAGUCUACUAUUAUGGCUGUAUUCAACAUUUCACUUGGAUUGUUAUUCCUCUAAUUAUUUAAUUCAAUGGGACUUGAUUCUAAUCUAGAAUCCUAAUGCAUGAACAAACUUAUGUUUAGGCAUUUGUACAAUAAUUGCCUAGAUUAGUUAGGCCUCUAUAUGUCUGUAGGAUUCAAUUAAACUAGGUUCUUUAAGCACGAUUUCUCCUUAGAUUAUAGUUGGCAUCUAGGCAUGUGUCUACCCUAGUUGCUAAUCAAGACACUUAAUUUCUAAGUGAUUUGAACACAUAUUAUCCAAGCCUAUGUCUAAUCUAAACUAACUUCGUCAAGUCUCAUUUAAAUACCACAUCCAAUCAAUUGGUGAUCAAGCAAUCAAUGGUCAAUAAAUUCAUAUUUGAAUAAACAUUAACAUACCAUUCAAAAUAAGUAAAAAAGCAACAAAUAAUUCAAGUUACAUGUAGAAAUCCACCAAAAUCCUACAUGAAAGCUAUUUAGUUCAUCAUAGUUACAGCAAAGUUUAAUAUUUCCAGAACAUAAGUCAUUUCUACAGUGGAAGAUAGGGAGAGAAAAGAAAAACUAGUGAAAGAAAUUAUUUGCUGCAGCUCUUAGAGUCAAAAUCUCCUUUGAUUUCUGCCUUUUUCUCCUUUUGUAGAAAGCUUCCUUUUCUAGCAAAAUAUUCUUUGCUUCCAGCACCCUUUCUUAACUAAAAAGAUCAUAUUUAUACUCCCUAUUAAAAGCCCUAGUUGCCAAAUUCAACAUAUGCAAAAUUGAGAUUGUAUGUGUCAGCACCAUGGCACUGUGCUUGUUGUGUAGUGCAUGUAGGUAAACCCAAGGUGGCACCACGACGCUGGGAGCAUGGCGUCGCAGCAUCGUGCCUGCUACCUUGGUGCCUUGUGUCCUUUAGCCUUUAUGCUAUUGCUAUUCCUGCUGUAGUUCAGUCAUUUCCUAUAUGAUUUUGACCAUGAUCCAAUUAGAACUGGACAAAGUGAUAACAUAAAAGUUGUAGGCCUUUCACUAAGCUUUCUAGUGAUCCAAUUUAAAUCUCAUCAAUCGGACUUCCGUAGCUUGAGUUACGUUCAAAUUUCUACAACAUAAUCAGAAAUCUCCUGAAGGAUCUUUACACCAUUCUUUGCCAUUUAAACCCAACAUGCUUGUGCACCUUCAAUAAUGAAGGACUCAAUCAGUAGAGGAUAAAAAUUGGACUUUUAUACAAGAAAUAAGCUAAAAGAACUCAAUUAACAAUACUUAAACAUGCUUUAAGCUAAUUAAUAAAAAGAUGUAAAAACUACCUAAAAUUGACUAAAAAAAAGCACAAAAGGACUUCAUUCUUUUAUACUUAACAUAGUACGAGAUAACUCUAUGAAAUAGGGUUAUCACACCCCCAAACUUAACAUUUUGCUAAUCCUCAAGAAAAAAUUAAAAUAAAGAAAGAAACAUAAACAUCGAAAACAUUGAACUAUAAUUUGGUUGCACCAAUCCAAAGAUCACUUAAGUCAUCUUAUUUCCUCAGCAUCCUAAGCAAAGAAUAAAUAUUAUUGAAGUUCACAUUUCACUAAAUUGCAAGCCCAUUUUCAAAGGAAAUCCCAUGUGUGAGUGUGGAGUUUCACGCAAUGAAAAUCAUGCCAUUUGAUAAGUUUAUGCUUAUGCAAUAAUUUAAUUUAGUCAAGAGAUUCAUAUGUUUGCUCUUUACCUCUCUCUCCACUUAUAUAGGCUCACACUUACUCAAGGAUCCAUAAGACUUAAUCAAGCUUGUAACAUAUGGCUCAGGUCAAGGUAGGAUAUAAGAUAAUAUAUGGCUCAAAACACCCUAAGCACGUAAUCAUUCUAGGAUCUAUAACGAGCCUUAAUCUUCACUACUUCUAGUCAUCCUUUUCUUCCUUUUCUUCUCCCUUUUUCUCUCAUCAAACACUUUAUUCUGAUAUAUAUAUAUAUUCUUAUCACUCCAUAAAAGGAACUGAACAAAGCCUGCUGGGUUCAGCAUGAGCCUAAUAACUUCUGAACUGUUUUUGAGCUCAGUAGUAUAAUAGACUUCAUUCUCAUACAACUCAAAUUCAAGUUUGACAGAAAAUAUUGCAUUCGUUCUCAUCCCUAUAAAGCGAAGACCAUUCCACGAUCUGUUCUGUACGCUAUUUUAGAUCCCUUCUCAAUUACUAGUUGUGGAUAUCCACUGAUAUUUAUACGUACAAAGUAUUGGCCUGGAGCAGGAUCAUCUGUACUUUUCCAGGAUGACAGAAACCACUCAAAACCUGUCACUAAGUUCUUCCCGAUUUUCAUUCCUGAAAGCAGAGUCUCACAAGGAUAAUCAAAACUCUGCCAUAGAUUGUCAGCUGGGUUGUUGUCUUUUCCAUCUUUUACUACAAGAUUUCCUGAGUUGAGAAGACGAACAACGGGUUCUUGUGCAGUUUUUGAUGUAUUUGAUGACCAAACAGUGCUAUUUGUGCUAUUCAGAAGCGAAAGAAUUCCAUGGUUGGAGAAAAGUAAGACUCCUUUAUUAUCAGAAAUUGGAGUUUCUCUAUUUGCCACCCAUACAACCGUUCGCUUAGAUACUUUCUUGUACCAUAUUCCUAAAAAUCGACUUGUGGAACUUACUGUAGGGCUGAAAAAUCCCAGUUCAAAGCUCCCAUCAGCUGAAGCUAGAGUUUCACCAUUUCUAAGGGAUUGACUUGGAGAGAGUGUAUCUACUGCAGUAGCAGUCCUUAAGAUGGAGAAAACAAAUAAAUAUACAAGAAAGAAUGAAAUCGUCUCCACUGAUUAUCUUAUGUUGCACUUCUUUCUUCAAAUAUGAAUGAAUGCUUUGGAAAAUUUAGGAUAUUACUGAGAUCAACCAGAAAUGAUGAAACAGAUGCUCUUAGAACAUGGUAGGUCUACUGACAAUUUUCUAUUAAAUGCAGAAAUUGUGAUAUUUUUUGUCAACGAAGGUGGGCUUAUCAUUAAUUCUCUUGCGUUGCUCAAAUAACGAUUGACAAAGGAAGCUGAAAACCAGAAUGUUCUGAACAAGUCUGGGUUAAUAUAUUUCCAAUUGAGGUGCUGUUGUUGUUGGAUAUAAUUUUCAACAAUAAUGAAUGUAGGCCACAAUCCUCAUUGAAAAAGUAAAAGGAAAAAGAGUAAUUUAAAGAGGAAAUUGUGAGGAAUGAACUAUCUCGAUAAAGACAUUUUAAAAAUAACCAUAAAAAUAAAUUUAACUAUUUUUAGCCAUAUUUAGUCAUGAUUUGAUAAAAAUACCUUUUAAACUAUAUCAAAUAAAUUAAACCAUUCAUCACAAUUUCUCUCCAUUUGUACUUCGGAUUUCUCUCUCUCACCAUCCCACUCUCUCAAAUUUUAUUGAUUUCUCUCUUCGGCAUUUGUCUGCUAUGCUUUCGAUUUCUCUCUCCCGCAUUUUCAAAUUUCUCUUUCUUACGCUUUCAAGACACCAAGCAAUGGUUUUGACGUGCUUGGGUAGGUGACUAUUUGGGAAAUUCAAUGUUUAGGUAUUUUGGAUAAAACUAAAAUGGUGAAAAUAAUCACAAAUGUAUGAAAUAGCUUUUAAUUGAAUCAAUUAGGGACCUAGACACUAAAAAACUCAAAAUUUUGAAAUUUAUAAACCGAAGUUUUCAAAGGAAUUUUUUUUUAUUUUUAGUUAAAGUAGGUGUUUUAGAUAAAAAAAAUUUAUAUUUUGAUUUAUGAAAACAUAUUAGAAACACUUUAAUCAGUGCCAAAUUGUCAAAAAAAUAAAAAGAGUUGAGAGGAUUGGAAGUUUUGGUUCGUAAGUAACAACAACAUUUUAGGUAUUAAAGUGUAACAAAAUGUUUUUGAAUAUGUCAUGUAACAAUAAUAUUUUUUCAACAUGGUAUGUAACAACAAUAUUUCUUUUUUCAACAUGGCGUGUAAUGAUAAUUCUAUUUUGUAGAAUUAUUUUACUCUAAUUUUGUUAUUAAAUAUUAGCUAAGUCCUCAAUUUUCAAUUAUAAUUUACUUAUUUUUAGUUGUUUUUAUAAUUAGGUUAAUUUUAAGUUAGUUAUUUUAAUUUUAUGUUAUUUCUUUUAAUUUGUUUAUUAUUGAUUAGUUUUUAUAUUUUUUGUAGAAUUAAAGGUGAUUUGGGCUUAAUUUUGGAAAGUAAGAUGUUCAAAGAUCUAGAAUCUGCUUGCAUAUGUUAUAGUAUUUUGGCCACAUCUCGAGUUACAGAACUCCAAAUGAUGUGAUUCUUAGACCAGUGGAAAGUUAAGAGACAGAUCUACAACUUUUGUGUAGAUCACUUUGCCCAGUUCUACCUCGAAGAUAGAGAAAAUCGUGUCAAAAAAUAGUAGACGUACUGUACCGGGAAUGAAAAUUUGUAAAGAUUGACAAUUUGAAUUUUGGGCCUCUUAUUAUACUUUUAAGCCCAAUUAAACCCUAAGUCAGCUUAAGGAACUUUAGGUUUAGUCUAUUAGUAUAAAUAGAAUAUGUUUGACAACAUUAAAAAAAGAGGAAGACAACCUUUGGGAGAUUCAAGAAAUUAGAAGUUGAGGCUGAAACUUGAAGAUCAAGGCGGAGAAUAUUGUUUUGUUUUCUCUCUUAGCUUUUAUCUUGAUACUUUUAAUGGUUGAAUUUACACAAUGUUAUUUUAUUUUGCAAUUAUGAGUAGCUAAACUUCUUUCUCUAAGAUUGCAAUUGAACUCACAUGUAGUUUAAGUUUUUAAUAUCUUUCUUACUUAUUUUAAUGGAAUUUGAAUUGUUUAUUUCAAUUUGUUCUUAAUGCUUUUAAUUGCCUGAUCACCAAUUAAAUUGAUCUAGGAACCUAAACAAACUUGGGAAAGGGAGUUUAGAGUAAACUAAAAUUGGGAUAGCAUAUGAUCAAAUUAAUUGAUUUGCAUAUAGGAUAAGGAUAUACCUAUAGGCCAUAUGUAGCCAGAUUAGAGCCUGAACUUAAUGAGUCUGUUUUAAUUUCAAUUCACAUAGGGAUAUAGUGUUUUGAUUAAAAUAGAUAUUUUUAUAGGAAGAGUCGGAAAGACCUUUAUAAAUAAUUUAGGACUCUAGGUUAGCAAUUCAACCCAUUGAAAUAAGUUAAGGAAGAGAGGUAAGAUUUAGAUGAACUGUGAGGAAUAUUGUAAUCCUAGGUUUGUUUAAUUUGAUAUUUUCUCAAGACUAUUAUUAUUUUGAUUUUUCUUAUUAGUUUUAAUUUCAGUUAAUCAGUUUUAGUUCAUUACUUAAUUUUGAUUGUUUGGAUAAAAUUGAAUUGUUUUAAUUUUAGUACUUAGUAAAAUUUUAGAUCAAUUCCCUGUGGGAUUGAUACUCUGCUUGCUAAUAUACUAUUUAUUCGAUACGUAUACUUGCGUAGUAGGAUUUUAACUGACAAGUUUUUGGCGCCGUUACCGGGGAAUUAAUUCUAGAUUUAUUACUAAUACUAAUACCAAACAAUUUAGUCUUACUUCAAAUUUUAUUUUUCUUAUUUUAAUUUUAACUUUUAUUUUCUUGCAGAUAUCUUUGGUCAUUGUAUGCAAAGAAGAGACAACUUGAAUCUUGUUCCUUUUGAUCCUGAGAUAGAAAGAACUUUCAGAAGGCGUCGCAGGGAGAAUUUACAAGUUGCAGUUUUAAAUUAGACAAUGGCCGAGGAUAACAUUAAUAAUGGUAAUAAUGCCAUUAAUGUGGUUCCCAAAGCAAAUAGAGCAUUGCAAGACUAUGCAGUUCCUCUGUUGCAAGAUUUGCACCAAAGCAUUAGGAGACCUUCCAUCAAUGCGAAUAAUUUUGAAAUUAAACCAGCCUAUAUUCAGAUGAUUCAGUCUUCAGUCCAGUUUGGUGGGUUACCCAGUGAUGAUCUUAAUGCUCAUUUAGUAAAUUUCCUAGAGAUUUGAGAUACCUUUAAAUAUAAUGGAGUAACUGAUGAUGCUAUUAGAUUGAGACUGUUUCCAUUCUCUCUAAGGGAUAAAGCAAAAAGCUGGCUUAAUUCACAGCCUAAUGGGUCUAUCACUACAUGGGAAGAAUUGGCUCAAAAGUUUCUCGCAAAGUUCUUUCCACCUGCAAAGAUUGCAAAGUUGAGGAACGAUAUCACCUCAUUCACACAAUUUGAUGGUGAGUCCUUGUAUGAAGCUUGGGAGAGGUUUAAAGAACUAUUGCGAAGAUGUCCACAUCAUGGGCUUCCUAAUUGGUUGCAAGUUCAGACAUUCUAUAAUGGGCUUAUUGGGUCAAUUAAAACCACAAUUGAUGCUGCUGCUGGUGGGGCAUUGAUGAGUAAAAAUGCAGCAGAUGCUUAUAAAUUGUUGGAAAAGAUGGCUUCAAAUAAUUAUCAAUGGCCUUCAGAAAGGUCGGGUUCGAGAAAAGCUUUUGGAGCUUAUGAAGUUGACGCAAUGAGCAACUUAGCUGCGCAAGUGGCUGCACUGUCCAAAAAGAUCGACAUAAUGGGAGUUCAUGCAGUUCAAAAUUCAAUUUUUGAGAUGUGUGGGGAUGGCCAUUCAAAUGAUCAAUGUCCAUACAAUUCUGAAUCAGUUCAGUUUGUGGGGAACUUUAACAGAUAGCAAAACAACCCAUAUUCUAAUACUUAUAAUCUUGAUUGGAGAAACCAUCCAAAUUUUUCAUGGAAUAACAAUGCAGGGCCUUCCAAUCCAAAACCCAACAUGCCUCCGGGAUUUCAACAGCAAGUUAGACCACCACUUCCUGAAAAGAAGCUCCAAGUGGAAGAACUACUUUUGCAGUAUAUAUCCAAGAAUGAUGCGAUAAUUCAAAGCUUUGGAGCAUCCUUGAGAAAUCUUGAAACUCAAGUGGGACAACUUGCAAAUUCUGUCAAUAGUAGACCUCAAGGUUCCUUACCUAGUGGCACACAAAUCAAUCCUAAAGGUAAGGAACAAUGCUAAACAAUCACCUUAAGGAAUGGAAAAGAGAUUGAAGGGGUGAAUGAAAAAGUAGUUGAACCUGAGAAUGAACAUGUUGAUAAUGAAAGAAUUUGUGAGAAAGAAAGUGAAGACAAACAGAAAGAGAAGGUCAAGGCUGAAAAUUAAGGAGUUUCUCAAGUCAUCCAUCCUCCACUACCUUUUCCCCAAAGGCUCCAAAAGCAAAAGCUUGAGAAGCAAUUUCAGAAGUUCAUUGAUGUCUUCAAGAAAUUACACAUAAAUAUUUCUUUUGUUGAAGCUCUGGAACAAAUGCCUAGUUAUGUCAAGUUCUUGAAGGACAUCCUCUCCAAAAAGAGAAAGUUAGGUGAGUUUGAAACUGUCUCCCUUACAGAAGAGUGUAGUGCAAUUCUCCAAAACAAGCAACCACCAAAACUCAAAGAUCUAGGUAGUUUCACAAUCGCUUACACUAUUGGUAAUUUAUUUUUUACAAAACCUUUGAGUGAUUUAGGUGCAAGUAUCAAUUUAAGGCCUUGGUCAAUUUUUGAGAAACUUGGUUUGGGGGAAUGCAAACCCACUUCUGUAACUUUGCAAUUGGCUGAUCGUUCUUAUGUGUACCAAAGGGGAAUUAUUGAAGAUGUUCUUGUCAAGGUAGAUAAAUUUAUUUUUCCAAUUGAUUUUAUAAUUCUUGACAUGGAAGAAGAUAGGCAAAUUCCAAUCAUUCUUGGGAGGCCAUUCUUAGCAACUGCUAGAGCUUUAAUUGAUGUUGAAAAAGGUGAGCUUACUUUGAGAGUUCAAGACCAACAGGUAACAUUUAAUAUUUUCAAAGCUUUAAAAUUACCUGUGACAUCUGAAGACUGUUUUUCUAUGAGUGUAGUGAACAAUUUGACACAUGAUGUUUUCUUAGAAGAAAAUCCCAAUGAUCCUCUUGAAGCAUGUUUAAUCGCUAACUCUGAUAGGAAUGAUGAUGAGUUUAUUGAAUAUUCAAAUUUGUUGAAUGCUCACUCCAGAUUUAGAACUAAUCAUCAAUUUGAGUCUUUAGAUAUUUCAGCUUCUUUGGUGCCAACUUCUAAGCCUUCCGUUGAGGAGCCACCUACUUUGGAACUCAAACCUCUACCAGUACACUUGAGGUAUGCUUUUCUUGGAAAAUCUUCCUCUCUUCCGGUUAUUAUUUCUGAUGCUCUUACUAGCUUGCAAGAGGAGAAGUUAUUGCGAACACUUAGAGAAUUCAAGAAAGCAAUAGGGUGGACCAUAGCUGAUUUUAAGGGAAUUAGCCCUUCUAUUUGCAUGCACAAAAUUCUUCUUGAGGAAGAUCACAAAGCCACAAUUGAACAACAAAGAAGAUUGAAUCCCAUCAUGAAGGAAGUGGUUAAGAAGGAAAUCAUCAAGUGGUUGGAUGUCGGAAUAAUCUACCUUAUCUCUGAUAGCUCAUGGGUAAGUCCAGUUCAAUGUGUUCCUAAGAAAGGAGGAACGACUAUGAUGGCCAAUGACAAUAAUGAGCUCAUUCCAAUAAGAACGGUGACUGGAUGGAGAGUGUGCAUGGACUACCGCAAGCUCAACAAAGCUACAAGGAAAGAUCACUUCCCUCUUCCAUUCAUUGAUCAAAUGUUAGAUCGCUUGGCUGGUAAGGAAUAUUAUUGUUUUCUAAAUGGUUAUUCUGGCUAUAACCAAAUUGCUAUUGCUCCUGAAGAUCAGGAAAAGACUACAUUUACAUGUCCUUAUGGCACCUUUGCUUUUAGAAGAAUGCCAUUUAGAUUAUGUAAUGCACCUGCCAUCUUUCAACGAUGCAUGAUGGCCAUAUUCACAAACAUGGUGGAAAAAUGCUUGGAGGUAUUUAUGGAUGAUUUCUCAGUCUUUGGAAAUAAUUUUGAUGAUUGUCUUUUAAAUCUUGCUAAGGUACUCAAGAGGUACGAAGAGACAAAUUUGGUGCUCAAUUGGGAGAAAUGUCACUUCAUGGUGCGAGAAGGUAUUGUUCUUGGGCACAAGAUCUCUAGUAAUGGCAUUGAGGUAGAUAAAGCAAAAAUUGAAGCAAUUGAGAAAUUACCACCUCCAAUAAAUGUCAAAGGUAUUAGAAGUUUUCUUGGUCAUGCUGGCUUUUAUAGAAAAUUUAUUAAGGACUUUUCAAAAAUUUCUAAACCAUUUUGCAAUUUAUUGGAGAAAGAUGUGCCAUUUAAGUUUGAUAAUGAAUGUCUUGUUGCUUUUGAUGAAUUGAAGAAAAGAUUAAUAUCUGCACCUAUCAUAAUUUGUCCCGAUUGGACUCUUCCUUUUGAGCUAAUGUGUGAUGCGAGUGAUUAUGCGAUGGGAGCUGUUUUGGGACGGAUAAAAUCUUCCAUUCCAUCUAUUAUGCUAGCAAGACUUUGAACGAGGCUCAGAAAAAUUAUACCACGAUAGAAAAGGAGCUUUUAGCUAUGGUUUUUGCUUUUGACAAAUUUCGCUCCUAUCUCAUGGGGACAAAGGUGAUAGUGUACACUGAUCACUCAGCUAUCAAGUAUUUGAUUGCCAAGAAAGAUGCUAAGCCAAGAUUGAUAAGAUGGAUCCUCUUACUUCAAGAAUUUGAUCUUGAGAUUCGAUAAAAAAGGAAUAGAAAAUCAAGUUGCAGACCACCUCUCAAGAUUAGAAAUUAAAGCUCAAGGUAAGGAUUCGACCAUAAUCAAAGAGACGUUUCCUGAUAAACAAAUCCUUCAAGUUGGUAAGAAAUCACUUCCUUGGUAUGCUGAUUUUGUAAACUAUUUGGUAAGUAAUAUUAUUCCCCUUUAUUUAAAUUUUCAUCAGAAAAAGUUUUGCACGAUGUUAAAUUUUAUUUUUGGGAUGAGCCUUACUUGUUCAAACAGUGUAAAAAUCAGAUGUUUAGAAAAUGCGUCCUAGAGGAAGAGAUUCAAAGUGUGCUUCACCAUUGCCAUUCUUUAGAUUAUGGAGGACAUUUUGGAGGAACAAAGACUGCUGCUAAAGUCCUCUAAUCAGGUUUAUAUUGGCCUACAUUAUUUAAGGAUGCUCAUAAUUUUGUAUUGCAUUGUGACAGGUGCCAAAGGGUGGGAAAUAUCUCAAGGCGACAUGAAAUGCCUCUCAACAACAUCAUGGAGAUAGAAAUUUUUUAUGUAUGGGGUAUUGACUUCAUGGGUCCGUUCAUAUCCUCAUAUAACAACAAAUACAUUUUGCUUGUUGUGGAUUAUGUCUCCAAGUGGGUUGAAGCAGCAGCCUUUCCUCAUAAUUAUUCGAAGGUGGUCAUGAAUUUCAUCAAGAAAAAUAUUUUCACUCGAUUCGGCACUCCAAGGGCAAUCAUUAGUGAUGAGGGAAGUCACUUUUGCAACAAAUAUUUUGAUGCCCUUUUGGCAAAAUAUGGAGUUAAACAUAAGGUUGCCACUGCGUACCAUCCUCAGACUAGUGGCCAAGCAGAAGUAUCGAAUCCCGAAAUCAAGAGGAUUUUGGAGAAAAUCAUGUGUCCCACAAGAAAAGAUUGGUCCAAGAGAUUAGGAUGAACUGUGGGCAUAUAGGACUGCUUAUAAGACCCCGAUUGGUAUGUCUCCAUAUAAGUUGGUCUUUGGCAAAGCUUAUCACUUACCGGUGGAACUUGAACACAAUGCUUAUUGGGCUGUCAAAAAGUUAAAUUUUGAUCUACAAGCAGCAGGUGAGCAAAGGUUGUUGCAGUUAAAUGAGCUUGAUGAAUUUUGCCUUCAAGCUUAUGAGAAUGCUAAACUCUACAAAGAGAAAACAAAGCAAUGGCAUGAUAAGAAGAUAUUGGCAAGAAGCUUUGAGCCAGGACAAGCAGUGUUACUUUAUAAUUCUCACUUAAAAUUAUUUUCGGGAAAGCUCAAAUCAAGGUGGUCUGGUCCUUUUAUUAUCAAUGAGGUAUUCCCACAUGGAGCGAUCGAAGUUAGAGGGAUAGAUGGUCAAAAAUUUAAAGUCAAUGGAAAAAGAUUAAAGCAUUAUUGGGGAGGCGAAAUUAAUCAUCAACAAUCCUUAAUUCACUUGCUUGAUACGGCCUAGAGUCCAAGACAAUCCAGCUGAAGACUAUAAAUGAAGCGCUUCUUGGGAGGCAACCCAAGCUUCUUAAUCUUACUCAGUUUUGGUUUAUUUUAUUUUAUUUUUAUUAUUUCAUUAUUAUUUUACUUUAUUAUUAUUAUUAUUAUUAUUAUCUAUUCUUUUCCCUUUUUGCAGGUCAAAAAAUCGAUUCGGAGUAAGGGGAGUAUUCUUGUCCCUUGUCUUUUAUUUUCUUUUAUCACAUUGAGGACAAUGUUCAUUCUAAGUUUGGGGGAGUAGUUUAGAAUUUUGUUAGUUUAUUUACAUGUUUUAUUUGUGAUUUGCAUGUUUUGUUGUGUUAAAAAAAAAGAUUUGAGAUAGUUAUAUCUUAUUCUUGAUUGUCCCAAUCCUAGGAUGAUAUUUUAAUUAUCUUUUGAUUCUUAGCUUUUGGGAAACAUAUAGUUAUGAUUUAAUUUUAUGUGAUAUUCUUGUGUUAGCUUUAUUUUAGAAUGUGACUUCCAAUAAUUUGAAGCACUAUACUCUUUUACUUAGAAUUUAUGUGUGAUUUAGAGAAAUUUUAUAUUGAUGAAAAAACAUAGUGGAGUCAAGAAUUCUAGAAUUUGUUUGAUUCUCUCUCGAGGCGAAAUCUUAGAUAACAUUUAGGAUAGGAAGUGAUUUAGGCCAUCUUUGGAUCGUUUGAGCCUUUUUGAGCCUACCUUGUUAUAUUUAUCCUUAGUCACCCUUUUUGAGCCUAAUUUACCUUUUCUUUGUAAUCGCACAGUUAUAUUAGCCUUGGCCUGUUUAUUUAAUUCCAGCAAUUUGAACCUCUCGUCCCCUAAGUAUGUUAAUCGUUCUAAAGAGUGAUUUGAGCUUAAAGAUAAAUUGAAGGAGAAAGGUGUAGAAAAAAAAAAAACACAAAAAGUGAAGGUUGUUAGUAAAAUUACCCCUAGUCUAUAAUGGUCAAAAAUAAGUUUGGGGGUUGAAAAAAAAAGGGGAAAAGAAAAGAAAUAAAGUGUGUUGUACAAAGGAAAGUUUACUUCAAGUUUGGGGGUGCUAUACAAAAAAAAAAAAUUGAGCUCUUUAUAUGAUCUAGAUUGAUUAAGUGCUUAGGGUGAAUUUGAGCCUAAAUAUAUCCUUUAUCAUACCUUGACCCUAGCCUUACAUUACAAGCUUGAUAAAGACUUAUUGAUCCUUGAAUAAGUGUUAAUCUACAUUAGUAGAGAGAGAGAUGAAAAGCAAACCUAUGGGAUCCUAGUACUAAUCUAUGCUUAGAGUUGACAUAAAACUAAUCCGAAUUGCAUGAUAUUCUUUGUAAGAGAGCAUUCACACACACAGAGGAAGUCCAUUCGAAAAAUAAGUUUUCACUUGAAUUGAUGCAUGAAUUUAAGAAUUAGCUGUAUGUUACCUUAAGUUUGAAUUUGAGUUAAUUUCUGAGGAAAAAUUAGGAAAUCAUGAUUUGGUAUUUCUAUCUCCCAUUUAAGGAUUUUUUUUUUAUGUUUUAGUUUUCUUUUUAUAAUUUUCUUUUGCUCGAGGACUAGCAAAAUCUUAAGUUUGGGAGUGUGAUAAUUCUAUUUUAUAGAAUUAUUUUACUCUAAUUUUGUUAUUAAAUAUUAGCUAAGUCCUCAAUUUUUAAUUAUAAUUUACUUAUUUUUAGUUGUUUUUAUAAUUAGGUUACUUUUAAGUUAGUUAUUUUAAUUUUAUGUUAUUUCUUUUAAUUUGUUUAUUAUUGAUUAGUUUUUAUAUUUUUUGUAGGAUUAAAGAUGAUUUGGGCUUAAUUUUGGAAAGUAAGAUGUUGAAAGACCUAGAAUCUGCUUGCAUAUGUUUCAGUAUUUUGCAUAUGAAUAUGGGACACAAUCCCACAUUAGAAAAAUAUAAGGAAAAAGAGAUUUAAAUAAGAGGAGUAAAAGUUCAUUGUUGUUGGACUUUAAUAGGCAAUGGGUCAUGGAUGAGUUUUUUGGGUCUGGAUGUUUGGAAGUUAAUUAAAUUUAAUUUUUAAUUAUUUAUAUUGGCACUUAGUAGGGCCAUUAAAAUUUAUUUGACUAAAUACUCAAAUAAGUCCCUAAAUUAUACCAAAAGAGUCAAUUAAACCCAUAUCCUUUUAUUACGCUCAAAUAAACCCUUAAACUUUUAUUUUAGGUCAAAUAAACCUUUCUCACUAACUGUUAACUAACAGAAGUCAACAAUACAAUUGCCAAUUUUAUACCAGGUCAUCCAUGAUGUGGCAUGUUGACAUGUCAUUUUAUUUUAUGCGUGCAAACUUAUGUUAGUAUCCAUAUUAAACGGAAAAACCAUCCUUCUCAAAGUGAAAUUACUCCUUAUAAAUUUGUAACACUCUUCUUCCUUAUCUCCUGCCUAAGUAAAUAAUCUGUCAAAACUCUUCUUUCAAUAGAAGAAAAAAAGAACAUUAAAAACCAUAAUGAUGAACCGUUCAGGCUUGUUUGACAAUAUCUUGCUAGAAUUGUCUAAGGGCUAGAACUGUUUAGGCUUUUUAUAGAACUUAUGGUUCUAAUAUUUUCGAGAUGGGGUUUAGAGCAACUAGAUCAAGGUUUUUGCUAGAAUUGUCCAAGCUUUUGAUAGAAACUGUACUUCCAGGAUGGGAUUUAGAGCAAGAAAAUCAGCCCUUAAAGAAAAGCCUUUCUCUUACGAAUCAAUCUAUCCCCUUUAUAGUUGAUUAUGGAGUUGCUUCACAGUUGGAAACUCGGUGAGAAUGAGAAUUCAAAGCUUGAUACUGAUGAUUAGCAUAUCCCAUAUAUUGAAGAGAAAUAUUCUUUUGAAAUCAAAAUUGAACUUCCUAACGUUAGACGAAGCACUCUUUGUAAUCCCUAACACAUAGUUAUAAGAAUAAAAUUUAACCUUUUUUUUUAAAAUUCAUUAAGUUGAUAAACAAAUAUAAAUUGAAGAUGAGUCUCCCAAGCCUUAAGUAGAUAUUCAUUCUAAAUGUGUUAUGAUCAUGAAAGACUUCUCAAACAUCAUUUUCAUUUAGAUAAUCUCUAAACCAUGACGUUUGGGUUUUUUUUUCAAACCUAAUUUAUUUUUUUUGGUUAAAACCCUAUGUUAAGAAUAAUCACGACUUAAUUUGAAGUAAUUAGGGUUUUUCUUAAAUUAUUUAUUUAAAAUCUCUAACUUAAUUAUUUUUAGACAUUUGGAUGGGUAAAAAAGGAAAUCCAAUUUCUAAUUAGCAAGUUUUAAUGCCAUGUGGCAUUGACAUAAUCAAAAUGACAUAUCAACAUGCCACGUGGCAUAAAAUUGCUUAUUGUAUAGUUGACUAACUUUCGUUAGUCAACAAUUAAGGAAUGGGGCUUAUUUGACCCAAAAUAAAAGUUCAUGAGCUUUUUUGGAUGAAAACAAAAGGAUAAAGGCUUAAUUGACUUUUUUAUAUAGUUUAGGGGUGUAUUUAGGUAUUUAGUCAAACUAUGUUUUUAUUUUUUAUCAACAGAUAACUAUAAUCAUUGGAAACAAACAAAAUAAUUAUGUUUGUGGUUUGAAAAAUAAUGUCUAUUAGAAAACCAACAGACAUAACUGCUAGAAAAAGAUAGAAAUAGAUUGUGUUUAAAACAAACACAAUUGUAUCUGCUAGAAAACUGUCUCGAUUGCCUAAAAAUAAGACCUUACUUUGAAGCAAAAAAGACAAAGAAACAAUGAUAGAACAAUCUCUCAUUUCUUUUCAAUAUUUUUUCAAAUUUUCUCCUAUAUCAUUUUAUUGUAGAGAAUCAUAUAAAAGUCUAGAUAAUCUAGCCAUACAUCAAUGGAUGCUCAGUGGAUUGACUUCGUCGAUGCUAUAAUACCCCAACCUAAGUAUACUUACAUUAGUAUAUUUAUAAAAUCAUAAAUUAGACAAAUAAGUCCUUUAUUAAAAUUUCUUAUAAAAUAUUUGGGUUUAUAUUAGAAUAGUUUUUAUGCUAGGGACCUUUUAGCAAAUGGAGUAGUUUUAUUUUAGUUGGAGUUAGGUUACAUUAUCAUGUAAAAAAAAAUAGUUAAUUAUAUCUUAUCACAUUUUAAAAAGAAGAUCAAUCAAUUUUAUCCAAGUAAGUUUGAAAAAGAAGGCAGUAAGACAAAUCAUUUGGGAGAAACUAAUGAAGAAGAAAAAGAAGAAGAAGAAGAAGGCAGAAAAAGGGAAGACCUAUUCAAAAAAAGCAGUGAUUAAGGUAUGAUUGGGCUUUAACUUUAGUUUAUGUUUCUUUAACUUCCGUUCAAAUCCAAUACUAAUUCGAUAUUAUUCCGCUGACUUUUCAAUGGCAUGAUGGGUACCAAUGGAAAGAUCUUAAAAAGAUCUUUCUAAUGAUUUUUUGUAGUAUCUUGUUUGGCUUUGUGGUUAAGAAGAUAUAAAUUUUUAAAGUUGAUUGGAAAUCUAUUUUUAUAAUCAGGUUUUUAUUGGCCUUUUCUUUUAAAGAUGCUCAUAAUUUGGUUGAAAGAUGUGAUAAAUGUCAAAGAGUAGGCAAUAUAUCUAGAAAACAUGAGAUGCCUCUCAACAUCCUAGAAGUUGAAAUUUUUGAUGUGUGGGGAAUUGAUUUUAUGGGUCCAUUCAUUACAUCCUUCAAUAAUGAAUACAUCUUGGUUGCUGUUGAUUAUGUCUCUAAAUGAGUCGAAGCUGUUGCAUUGUCAAGGAAUGACUCUAAAGUAGUGAUAAAUUUCUUGCUGCAAAGGAACAUCAUCAUACGUUUUUGUACACCUAGAGCCAUAAUUAGUGAUGAAGGGUCUCACUUCCGCAACAAAAAUUUUGAGGCACUCUUGGCCAAAUAUGGAGUCAAACACAAAAUAGCCACUAUUUAUCAUCCUCAAACAAGUAGCCAAGCUGAAGUUUCAAAUUGAGAAAUUAAAAGAAUUUUGGAGAAGAUUGUUUAUCUUUCUAGAAACGAUUGGUCUAAAAAAUUGGGUGAUGCUUUAUGGGCUUAUAGAAUUGCAUACAAAACUCUAAUUAGGAUGUCUCCUUAUAAAUUGGUGUUUGGAAAAGCUUGUCAUCUUCUAGUUGAGCUUGAACACAAAGCAUAUUGGGCAAUUAAAAAUCUUAAUUUUGAUCUUCAAGCAACCAGAGAAAAGCAUCUUUUGCAACUCAAUUAGAUGGAUGAAGUUCGUCAAGAAGCAUAUGAGAGUGCAAGGAUCUACAAAGAAAAGACAAAACGAUGGCAUGAUCAGAAAAUCAUAAGAAGGAGUUUUAAGCCUGGCCAACAUGUUCUCCUAUACAAUUCUCGUUUGAAAUUAUUUCCUAGAAAGUUGAAAUCUCGUUGGUUUGGCCCUUUCACUAUGAUGAGAGUAUAUCUUCAUGGAGCAGUAGAGGUGGCUGAUGAUAAAUCAACCUUCAAAGUGAAUGGGCAAUGAUUAAAACAUUAUUAGGGUGGUGAUUUCGAUCGUCAGAAUACCUCAAUCACACUUAUCAACGCAAUUUGAAUAAAAAAAAAGUCAAGCCGAAGACUAUAAAAUCAAGCGCUUCUUGGGAGGCAACUCAAGCAUUGUAACUUAAUUUCUUUUAUUUUUAUUUAUUCCAUUAAAUUAUUAACAAAUUAUUUUUUUAUUUUGUAGGUACCAUUAAAGCCCUUCCUCUCUUAAAAAAAUCAAAAAGGAAAGAGAGAGAGAGAGAGAGAGGUAGGUCAUGACUCCCACUAGGGGAGGCCACGGCCUCCUAAACUUACCAUGACAUGGGCCGUGGCCUAAAAAAAAUUGGAGAGGGUAGGCCGCGACUUCCCCAAAGGGAUGUUGUAGCCUAACGGAGAAAACCAACGUGGGCUACGGCACCCCUGUUGUGGGCUGCCAUAAAUGGGCAGCCCAUUACCCAUAACCUUCCCCCCCCCCCCUGAUGUGGGCUGCCAACAAUGAGCAGCCCAUUGCUCAAUAAAACUCCUUUCUUUUCUUUUAGUUAUUUUUAUUUUAUUAAUUUAUUUCUCUACAUUAAUCUCUAUUUAUUUUCUUUUUGUAGUAAAUAAAAAAACAUCCUUCUAGAAGUGAGAAUGAGGAAGAUGACGAUAAGGAAGAGAAGGAGGAUUAGAACUUCACGACAUUCAUCCAACCAUCAAGGGAGUAUUCUUUACCUUUCUUUUAUUUUAUCCAACAUUGAAGACAAUGUUUAGUUUAAGUUUGGGUGGGGGGGAAGGAAUUUAUUUUUCUAGUGGUAAAUAUUUUGUGCAAGUUUUAGAUUUAAUUUAAGUUGCAUGCUUAUCUCGAUUUACAAAUAAUUUAGGAUUAGUUGGUAAAUGAAUUUAUUAUUUUUGAAUUUUAUGAAUCUAGAGUAAAGUUGUGUCAAUUUUUUUCAAUGCUUUCCCUAUCCAAUGAUGAUAACUAGUUGUCUUUAAUUCUUAACUUUUGGUAAAUAAGGUUUUUGUUUAGAUUCAUGCUAAAUUCUUUUGUUAAGUAUCAUUGUUAGGAUGUGAUUUCCACAAUUUUGAAUACUAUAUCUUUUGCUUUGAAUUAUUGUGAAUAUCUAGAGAAGGUUUAUACUGUUGUGAAUUUUAGAUUAUGCAAUGAAUUCUAAAAUUUGCUUGAUUCUCUCUCGACGAGAAAUCCUAGGCAAUACUUUGUUAGGGAGAUGAUUUAGGCCAUUUUUGGACCGUUUGAGCUUAAAAAGCCAACCUUGUUAAAUUUUUAUCCUUAGUAUACCCUUUUCAGCUUAAUUUAUCUUUUCUUUGUUUAGCUACAUAAUAAUUGAGCCUAGCCUUAAAAUAAGAUUUUCAAUUUUAUAACCCUCACUCCUAAGCAUGCAUAUUGUUUUAGAAAAUAUAGAAUGAGUUAAAUGUUAAAAAAGGUGAAAGGUGAUGUUGAUAUGAAAAAAAUAAAAAAUUCAAAAUAUGAAAAAUCACCCUACUACCUAUAAUACAAAGAAAAUAAGUUUAGGGAUCUAAAAUUGUGAAAUUGAGGAAAAAAAAAGUUCAAUUGUGGAAGAAAAGAUGUACUAGGAGAAGGAGAAUAGAGCUAUAUAUAUAUGUUCUAGAAUAAUUAUGUGCUUAGGUUGAUUUGAGCAACAUUAUUAUCCAUUAUCCUACCUUGACCCUAGCCAUACAUUACAAGCCUUAUAAAGUCCUGUUGAUUCCCAGCUUUGUGUUAGUCUACAUUAGUGGAGAGAGAGAUGAAAAGUAAACCUAUGGAGUUCUAGUAUUGAUUUGAAAUUUGUGGUGGCAUAAACCCAUCCAUAUAUCAUGAUAUUCCAAGUAAUAGAUUUCACACACACAUGAAAAUCCAUUAGAGAAUGUUCUUACAUUGGAAUUUAAACAUGAAUUUGAAAUAUGCUUAAAUUUUUUCCUUAAGUUAAGGAUUGAUAGAUAUACUUUUGAGGAAAUUAUGGGUAAUCAUGGAGUUGGUGCACUUUAUCUUUAGUAGUAGUAACUAUAUUUAUUUUAUUUUCAUUUGAAAUUGAUUUUCAUAGUUUAGUUCUUUUAUAUGUUUUGCUCAAGGACUAGCAAACUAUUAAGUUUUGAGGUGUGAUAACUCUAUGAUAUAUAGUUAUUUAGGCUAAAUUUUGAUAGUAAUUUAGCUUAGUAAUUAGUAUGUUUUAUUUAAAUUAUUUUAGAUUAAUUAAUUUAGGUGAGUCAAUUUAAUCUUAGUUAAUUUUAUGCUUAAUUUGGUAUGAAUGUGAUUAAGAUAGGUUGUUGUGAUUUAUUUGUGCUUUUGUACGUGUUUAAUGAAGAAAUAAUUCUAAUGAAAGAAGGAGACCAAUUUCAAGGUGCAAACUUUCAUUGCACAUAUUUCGGUAUUUUGACCAUAAAUUUCUCUACAGAGAAAUACAUAUCCUUUAGGAUUCUAGACCAGAAUCAAUUUCCAUUAAGAUUAAGUAAUUAAGCAAAUACAAUUCCAAGUGACAUAUUAAAGGAUACCAUAAUCCUAGACUAUUAAACCAUUACUCCCACCUCAAUUUGUUAUUUGCACAUCUUAGAUUAAUAUUAGUUAAUUAGAUUACUUUUUAAUCAUUUCUCAAAAUUUGGUGCUUGGAUAAAAUUGGCUUAUUUUAAUUUUAGUAAUUAGCAACAACUAGUAAACCAACUCCUCAAGGGAUCGACAAACUCAACUUAUCAUUGUAUUACUUGUUGUGAUCGCGUACACUUUCACGUAGUCUUUGCUUGUAUUUUCCAUUUAAUUUUGAGCACAUUUCACAUCACACAAGCAAAGCACACAACAAUACUAAGGUAUUUAAAGAAAAUAAUAAACUAUGGUCUUUGUAAAAAUGUCUAUCCAUCAGUAUUUGAAGGAUAUUUGGAUGCUCGCUAGAUUCCAAGUUUAGAAGAUCAUGCUUCCACAAGUGGAUCGACUUUCAUGCUUAGUGGGAGUACUAUUUCUUAAGUGUCCAAAAAAUAAACAUGUAUAACGAAUUCUACUAUAGCAGUCAAAUUUAAUGCCUUUGUUGCUGCCACUAAAAAAGCUGAAUAGCUAAGAAAUUUACUUUAUAGUAUACCUUUUUGGCCUAAACCAAUUUCAUGAAUUUCUAUCCAUUGUGAUAUUGAAGCAACUUUAGCAAAAGCGUAUAACCAAGUAUAAUGGAAGGUUUAGACAUAUUGGAUUAAGACAUAGCUACAUUUGAUAAUUAAUUUUUGAUAAAGUGAUCACUAUAACUUUUGUGAGGUCUACAAAAAAGUUGGCAAAUCCUUUAAUGAAAAGUCUUACUAGAGAUUUUGUAAAUAAGACCUCAAAAGAGAUAGGGCCCAAGCUAAUAAAUUGAAAGUCACCCAUGGUGUAAACUCGACCCAACGCUUGGUAUAAAGUCAAUACUUAAGUUCAAUGAGACAAAGUAAUAAUGUAAUAUACUAUAUUUUAUUGCAAGUAAAGUGCUAGGUACCCGUAAUAGUAAAGAAAAUAUGAGUUAUAUACUCUUAAUAGACCCAUAACAUAUUUGUUAGAAUGCUUUAAGUUAUAGAGGCGUUCUUAAUGGGAUCUACCUAUGUGACUGUAAAGUGUAGCUGUUUCUAGGAACUCAUGAGCUUGUCUAGCCGUUUCUAGGAACUCAUGAGCUUAGUUGUAAUAGCACUCAUGAAAAGAAGAUGUUGACGCAUGGCCAUAAAUACUGUGCAUUCAUUGGUAUCGAAAUCAAUGUGUAAGAUGUGUUUGGUUAACCAAAUGGAAUAGCUGGUUUAAAGUAUAGUCUACCAUGCAAUUUCAAUUAACUUUAACUCGUUUUCACUAAGUGAAAGUUCAAUUGGAAGACACGUUCAUUUAUGCAAUUAAUGUCCAAGAUUAUAAAAAAUUUACAUUAUUUUCAAAAUAAUGGGGGAUUGUUGGAUAUUUUCAAAAAUAAUGAAUAAGGGACACAAUCCCACAUUGGAAAAAUAAAAGGAAAAAGAGUCAUUUAAAUAUAUAGGAGUAUAAGUCCAUUGUAAUUGGAUUUUAAUACGCAAUGAACCGUGGAAGGCUUGAAUUAUAUAAAACAAAAAUAGAACAAUAUUUUUUAGUUCGAUGAUCAAACAGUUGUAUUUUCUGAUAUGAACGAAAGUUUCCUUCCAUUUGCUUGCCAAUUCAACUAAGGAAUCAUGUCACAUGUGCACAAAUUACUAAUAUCGAAGGCCAACCAGAACUUUAAAAUCCCCUUUCCCAAGUUGGGUUAAAGCUAUUAGAUGUUCAGAAAUUUUUAGGCUGUAGAUGUUUCAGCAACUGAUUGUCCUACGUCUGUUUUGAGAGUAAAGAGUAAGAAAUACAAACUAAUUAAAUUUGGAAAGCAAGUCUCUCAAGUAGGUUGGGCUUGGAUUUUUCCUUCCAUUUUAGGGGGGCAUGGUCUAACACUAUUUAGCAGUAGUAAAAAUCGAGAAGUUUUGUGCUUUGAUAAUGAAAAGUUGAAGCUAAGAUUUUUUCCAAAUAAUGGAGAUGGAAAAUGGCAAAGAAAAUCUUGAAUGUUUCUAAUUUCUAUAGCUUUUUUCUAUAGUUCCAAGUUUUUCAUGUCCCUAAUGAUUAUACAAAUUUGUUGUACACCACAAUCAACAUCAAGUGUUUGGAAGAUGAAUAUUAUUAUAAGGAGCUGUAGGAAGAAUUAAGAUCUUCCAUUUCCAUUAAUUUGACUUUAGCAAAUCCUGAAGGGUCCCAUUUCAUGAAAAUUGCUAUUGUUUCAUUAUUCAGGCAAGCCUUUAAUUAUUAGUAACACAGUUAAUUAAUCAUUUACCUUGAAUUAAACAUAAGACAAGUCUGAGUGGGGUAAGCAAAUUUCCUAUUUAGGCCAUCUAAGUAUUCACACUGAAUUUAAUGAAGCCCUGAGGUGGAUUUAGGCUUGCUCUACAACUUGGAGUGACUUUAAUAUAUGUUUUACAAUGAAAUAUGGAGUUUUGAGAAAUUCGUGGGGUGAUGCUAACACUUACCAGUCAAACAUUGAUGUUCUUUUAAUCUCUCUUGUCUAGAGGAUGACAUUAUUCUUAUUUCUUACAGCUAUUAGAAAAGUUGAAGAAAUUUAUGAAUAAUCAUGAAUUGUAUUCAAGCAAAGAGAGAUAAACAACCAAAACCAAAAGAGCUAAGGAAGAAAAUUUAGGAAUCAAAAACAAAUUGGAGGAAAAAGCCAGCUCACUCAUUUUCAUAUUGGUAUUUAUAUGACAAAAACAAACCGUGCCUAGCAAGUCGACGUUGGAGAAUGUAAAGCAUUGAGGAAAAAUAGCUAAGAAUUGGAUUUUAGACAUGGAAUUCUAUGCUUUACAACGAUUAUUCAAACAUCUAUGAAAGUAAACAAACAAACAAACUGACACAUGGCUUAACAGCCUUAAAAAGGAUAAACAAAAUGACAUAAGAAAUGGUGUUUAAGCCACCAUAAGAAAUAACAAGUAAAAUGAUAGGAUUCUAUGCAUAUUAAACACUCAUUAACUGAAAGAAUAAAAUGUCACCAUACACCUAUUUCCUUUUUUCCUUCAACUAGUAGUUGAUUCUCGUCCAAAUUCAUUCUUCUUCCUCUUUAACAAGCUAGAAUCAGUGAGUCUUCAACACACCUCCUUGAUUCCAGAUAAGUAAACUCCUAGUUUGUUCCUUAAAAAUUCAAAUAGAUAUGAGUUUACUCCUUUAGUGAAAAUAUUAGCUAGUUGCUCUUUUGUAAGGUAGUAUUCCAGUUCUACUUCACCUUCCUUCAUUGCAUCUCUGAUAGCAUGGUACUUCACUAUGAUGUGUUUUGUUCGACUGUGUUGUAGUGAAUUUUAAGCAAUAGCCAUAGCAGAUUGAUUGUCUACAUAUAAUAGUGUUCCCUUGUUCUAUGAAAAUCGAAAUUCAACUAAUAUUUUCCUCAACCAAAGUGUUUGGUUUGCAAUUGAAGCAAUAACAAUGUACUCUGCUUCUCCAUAUGACUGAGCUACUACUUUCUACUUCUUUGAACUCCAAGAAACACACCAUUUUCAAAGGAAAAAGAGUAACCACUUGUACUAUUAGAGUCAUCAUAGGAACCAGCCCAGUCACUAUCAGUAAAUCCCUAAAGUUCACCACUUUCAGUCUUCAAAUAUUUCACACCAAAAUCAACAAUACCUUUGACAUACUUGAGAAUGCAUUUGGCUACAGUAAAAUGUAUAAUUGUUGGAGCUUGCAUAUACCUGGACAGGAGACUUGUUGCCAACAUUAAAUCUAGUGUAGUUGUAGCAAGAUAAAACAGGGAACCAAUAAUGCUUCUAUGGUUGCAUAUACCUUUGAUGCCUGUUUUGAAGCCUUCCACUAAAGAACCACCUACCUUGGAACUUAAACCUUUGCCUACACACUUAAGGUAUGCUUUUCUUGAAAAAUCCUCUACGUCUCCAAUUAUUAUUUCUGCUUCUUUUACUAACAUGAAGGAAAUCAAGUUAUUGAGGAUACUUAAAGAAUUCAAGAAAGCAUUUGGGUGGACCAUAACUGAUAUUAAGGGAAUUAGCCCUUCUAUCUUCAUGCAUAAAAUCCUUCUUCAAGAAAUCAUAAAGCCACAAUUGAACAUCAAAGAAGAUGAAUCCCAUCAUGAAAGAAGUGGUCAAGAAAGAAAUCAUUAAGUGGCUGGAUGCUGGAAUAAUUUAUCCUAUUUCUGAUAACUCAUGGGUAAGUCUGGUCCAACGUAUUCCUAAUAAAAAGGGGAUGACUAUGGUCUCCAAUGACAAUAAUGAACUCAUUCCAACAAGAACUACGAUGGGAUAAAGAGUUUGCACAUAUUACUAUAAGCUCAACAAAGCUACAAGGAAUGAACACUUCUCUCUCCCAUUCAUUGAUAAAAUGUUGGAUUGACUGGCUAGUAAGAAAUAUUAUUAUUUUCUAGAUGGUUAUUCUGGUUAUAAUUAAAUUUCUAUUACCCUUGAAGAUCAAGAAGAGACUACCUUUGCAUGUCCUUAUAGACCUUUUCUUUUAAAAGAAUGCCAUUUGGGUUAUGUAAUGCACCUACCACCUUUCAAAGAUGUUUGAUGGCAUAUUCACAGACAUGAUGGAACAAUGUUAUGAGGCAUAUAUGAAUGAAAUUUUAGUUUUCGGAAAUAAUUUUGGUGAUUGUCUUAUGAAUCUUGUUAGGGUACUAAAGAGAUGUGAAGAAACAAAUUUGGUGCUCAAUUGGGAAAAAUGCCACUUCAUGGUGCAAGAAGGUAUUAUUCUUGGGCACAAGAUUUCUAGUAGCGACAUUGAAGUGACAAAGCAAAGAUUGAAACAAUUGAGAAGCUACCACCUCUAAUAAAUGUCAAAGGUAUUAGAAGUUUUCUUGGUCAUACUAGUUUUUAUCAAAGAUUUAUCAAGAACAUUUCAAAAAUUUCUAAACCACUUUAUAAUUUAUUGGAAAAAGAUGUAUCAUUUAAUUUUCAUAAUGACUGUCUUGUUGCUUUUGAUGAAUUGAAAGAAAGAUUAAUUUUUGUAUCUAUCAUAAUUAGUCCAGAUUGGACUCUCCCUUUUAAACUAAUGUGUGAUGCGAGUGAUUAUGUGGUGUGAGAUGUUUUGGGAAAAAGGAAGAUUAAAACCUUUCAUUCCAUCUAUUAUGCUAACAAAACUUUGAAUGGGGCACAGAAAAAAAGCUUUUGACUAUAGUUUUUGCUUUUAACAAAUGUUACUCCUAUCUAGUUGGGACAAAACUGAUAGUGUACGCUGACCAUUCAGCUAUCAAACAUUUGAUUGCCAAAAAGGAUGCUAAGCCAAGAUUGAUAAGGUGGAUUCGUUGCUACAAGAAUUUGAUCUAGAGAUUCAUGACAAAAAAGCAACAAAAAAUCAUGUGGCAAACCACCUCUCAAGAUUGGAGAAUGAAGCUCAAGGUAAGGAUUCAACCUUAAUCAAAAAGACUUUCCCUGAUGAACAAAUCCUUCAAGUGGGUAAGAAAUCAAUUCCUUAGCAUGCUGGCUUUCUGAAUUAUUUGGUAUGCAAUAUUAUUCUCCCAAAUUUAAAUUUCAAUCAGAAAAAGAAAUUGUAGCAUGAUGUUAAAUUUUAUUUUAGGGAUGAGCUUUUCUUCAUUAAGUAGUGUAAAGACCAGAUUUUUAAAAAAUGUGUCCCAGAGAAGGAAAUUCAAAGCGUGCUUCACCAUUGCCAUUGUUCAAAUUAUGGAGGACACUUUAGAGGAAUAAGAACUGUUGCCAAAGUCCUCCAAUCAGGUUUGUAUCGGCCUACAUUAUUUAAAGAUGCUCACAAUUUUGUUUUGCAUUGGGACAUGUGCUAAAAAAUGGGUAAUAUCUCAAGGAGAUAUGAGAUGCCUCUCAACAACAUCCUUGAGAUAGAAAUUUUUUAUAUGUGGGGUAUUGGCUUCAUGGGUCUUUUCAUAUUUUCAUACAACAAUAAAUGCAUCUUGCUUGUUGUAGAUUAUGUCCUCAAGUGGGUUGCAAUGAAAACCUUUCCUCAUAAUGACUUAAAGGUAGCAAUGAAUUUCAUCAAGAAGAAUAUUUUCACUCAGUUUGGCACCUGCAGGGCAAUUAUUAGUGAUGAAGGGAGUCACUUUUGCAAGAAAUAUUUUGAGGACUCUAGGCUAGCAAUUCAAUCUAUUGAAAUAAGUUAAGGAAGAGAGGUAAGAUUUAGAUCAAGUGUGAGGGAUAUUGUAAUCUUAGGCUUGGUUCUAUUGAUUUUUAUCAGAUUUUAUUUCUUCUUUGAUUUUGUUAAUUAGUUUUGAGAAUUUUUAGUUUAAAUAAUUAUUUGUUUUUUGACCAUUUGGAUAAAAUUAAAUUGUGUUAUUUUUAAUACUUGGUAAAAUCUUUAGAAUAAUUAUCUGUAGGAUCAACAGUCUAUUUGCCAUUAUACUAUCCUCAGCAAUAAGUAUACUUGCAUGAGCAAAAUUUUAACUGACAAUGACUGGAAGAUUGCCUAAAUUCCAUUCCCAGAAAAUAAGACAUUAGUCUUAAAUCAAUCAUUUCAAAGACUUUUAGCAUCUGUGACUUGAACUCAGUUAGGCAUUCAGUUUCUAGACUAGUAACUAGCAAACAACAACAAUGCCACUAUAAGCUUAACUAUAUCAUUUUUUUUAUAUUAAGUGUUACUUCAAUAGUGCUUCUCAUGAAUCCCUAGUUUAGUAGAUGAUCAUUCAUCUUUUCAUACCAAGCCCUUAGUACUUGUUUGAGACCAUAUAAGGCCUUCACUAACUUGCAAUCUUUGUUUCCAUAACCCUUCUUUACAUAUCCAUCUGAUUGUUCUACAUAAAUAUCUUCCUUCAAGUAACUAUUCAGAAAAGUAAACUUUAUGUCAAAAUGAUAAAUCAGCCAUUCUUUUUUUGCAAACAAAGCUACUAGUAACCUAAUGGUGUCAUGUCUUGCAACAGGUGCAAAUGUUUCCAAGUAGUCUACACCAUAUACCUGUGCAAAGCCCUUGAUUACUAGCUUGGCUUCGUAUCUGUUGAUAGAUCCAUCUGAUUCAAUUUGCUUUUAAAAAUCCAUUUAACACCUAUGACAUUAUGAUUUUUAGGCCUAUUUACCAACAAUCAGGUCUUAUUCUUCCUUAUCAUCAUCAUUUCAACCUCUAUGGCUUGUUUUCAAUGCUCAUCAGUAACAACUUCAACAUAAGAACUAGGUUCAAUGAUUGCCAAAUGACACUUGGCAUAUAUGUCUUCUGAGCUUCUAGUUCCUCUCACAGGGAUCUCAUCCGCAUUUUCAUAUAACUUUAAGUUAGACUCAUCUUCUGGCAACAGAUUAGAAACAAACAAUAGAAUUUUCUAAGCUUUCAACAUUCUUCGAUUCCAAUUCCACAUCUUGUUCUCAUACAACAUCACAUCUCUACUUAUAAAGAAUUUCAUAUUUUUGACAUCUAGGAGUCUGAACCCUUUUGGUACUUCACUAUAUCUAAGGUGGAUAGCCAAAAGAGACUUAUUAUCCAACUUGGUCCUCUUUGCAUCUAGAAUCUUAGAAAACAUAUACAUCCAAAGACUUUCCAAUAUUUAACUGAGGGUUUUAUUUCACACCAGGCUUUAUAAGGUGUUUUACCAACCAAGGCUCUAGUAAGUGCCAAAUUAAAAAGAUAGUUAGUAGUGUUAACUACUUUUGCCCACAAUAACUUAAGCAACUUAUUUUCAAAUAACAAGCACCUAGCCAUUUCCAUCAAAGUCCUGUUCUUUUUCUCUAACACACCAUUCUGUUGGGAGCUAUAUGAGACAAUAAGUUGAUGCAUAAUGCCAAACUUGCUUAAAUAGUCUUUAAACUUCUUAGCGAUGUACUCAGUCCCAUCAUCACUUUUGAGCUUUUUACAGUCAGGCUCAUCUAAUUUUAAACUAAGUUUUUGAACUUAGUGAACACACUUAAUGCAUCAAACUUCAUUUUCAUGAAAUGUACCUAACAAAACCUUGUACAAUCAUCAAUUAAUAGUAUAUCGUACUUACUUCCAUUCAAGGAUGAAGUCUUCAUAAGGCCUUAAAGAUCAGUGUCUAGUAGUUGUAACUUUUUUGUUACAUUCUAGGUUCUAGUUUUUAGAAAUGAAACAUUUCUCUGCUCCCAUACUGACACACCUCACAAAUCUUCUUAAUGUUUACCAUUAAAGGCAACCCAUCAACCAAGUUAUCAAAGCCCAUUAACUUAAGUGAACCAUAGUUCACAUGACCAAACCUUCUGCGCCACAAUUUUGUAUCAGAUAAAAUGCAACUAUAAACAAUGUGCUUGACUUUCAUCUAGUUUAAUGGGAAACAUUUGUUUCUCAUUCCUACUGUGAAGAGUUCUAUUCUAAUUGGAUAUUUCACAAUGCAAACCGUGUCUUUAAAGUUUACUUCAAAGCCUUCAUCCACAAGUUGGCCUACAUUUAGUAAAUUUUGACUCACAUCAGGAGCAUAAUAGACAUUUGCCACUGAUUUGAUUCCACUAGGUGUCUGCACUCUUAUUGUACCAAUUCUAAAGAUUAGUAGAAAAUCACCAUUUCCUAUUUCCAUUUGAGUUCUGAAACUUUCAUUCAAAUUGAGAAAACUCUCCUUGCAACUGAUCAAGUGGUUUGAAUAGCCACUAUCCAGCAACUAGAUGUCCUUCUUUUCUUCAUUGUCCAAGUUCCUAGCCAUAAACAGAACUUCAUCUUUAGCUUGAAACUCCUCAACCAUUGCUGCUUUCUCAUCAGCAUUCUUACCCUUGUUUUUGCAUACUUUUUCAACAUGUCCUUCCUGGUGACACGUCUUACAUUUAACAUUCAGUCUAAACCAACAACACUUCUCAGUAUGGUUUAUUUUCUUGAAAUGAGAACAUGGUGAAAAUGCUUUCUUUUGAUCCUUAUGUCUUUUUUCAUCAAUUUUUUUCCAUUUGUCUUCUUAUCUGCAUCAAUCCUCCUAGAGCUAUUACUACCAAGCUUUGAAUUUUUGGUUUUGGCAACUAAGGCACUUUCAAAUUAGGGAUAUUCUCUAAUUUCUACUUGUAUUGAUUUUUACCUCAAAAUCCUACUUCCUCUACACGAAGCCCUCAAGAUAUAAUUGCAUGAAUAGAUAUUGGGAAUACAAAAAAAUUUCAACAUGAUCCAUGGUGAAAAGAAGAGGACAAGUACCUAUUUCAAAAGUAGCAAGUCAAAUAUAAAAGUCUUUCCCAUCUUUCUCCAUAUUUCUCAUGUCUAUCAGAUCACCAAACCACAGCAAGCAUCUGCUUCCCCCCUCACUGAUACCUAGAUUUGCACAUGCAGUGCAAGCACAAUCACUUAAACAUAAUUGCCUACCUUCUUUGAUGUUCAUGGUCAUGUUCACCUUGGAAUGGGAUGUGUCUAGCAAUUUCAAACCCAAGCGCUUAAGAAAGCCAUAUCCAUUGUUACAAGUUAAUGGAGUUCUUCUAAUUCAUCCAUUAAACCAAUCUGCUGAAUUAUACUUUCUUAUGGAUUUGGGCAUGAACCCUUCCAAGCAUGAACACACAAGAGAGUCAUUUUCAUUACAGCUAGCAUAUGUUCCACAAAAGGCAUAAUUUUCACACUGAUCAAGAGACAUCGCUAAAAACUCCCAAUCGUGCAUUUGAUCACUCUAUAUAAGGCAUUGAGAAAAACCUGAUGGGAUCAGCACAAACCUUAAAACUACUAAGCUGUUUAUGAGCUCACUAGUAGAAUAUACUUCAUUCUCAAUCCUCAUAAAUUCAUUUUUUAAAACUGUAUUCACUCUUAUCUAAAGCCCUAGAAAGCCAACACCAUUCCUUGGUCCUGCUUUGUGCUUUAUUUUAGAUCCCUUCACAAGUAUUAGUUGUGGAUAUCCACUAAUAUAUGUACGUGAAAAGUAUUUGCCUAUAGUAGGAUCAUUUGUUCUUUUCCAGGAUUGCAAAAGCCUCUCAAAACUGGUAACAGAGUUCUUUCAAAUUUACAUUCCUAAAAGAAAUGUAUCACAAGGAUAAUCAAAACUUUACCACUAAUUUUCCUCAACUGGGUUGUUGUCUUUGCCAUCUCUCAUUACAAGAUUUCUUGCUUUCAGAAGCUGAGCAAUGGGUUCCUGUGUAGUUCUUGAUGUAUUAGAUGACCAAACAGUGCUAUUUGCGCUAUUAAAAAGUGAAAGAAUUCCAUGGUUGGAAAAAAGUAGGACUCCUUUAUUAUAAAAAAUUGGAGACUCUCUAUUUGCGACCCAUGCAAUUGUUCCAUUAGAUACUUUCUUGUACCAUGUUCCUAAAAAUCGACUUAUGGAGCUUACUCUAAGGUUGAAAAAUCUCAAUUUGAAGCUCUCAUUAGCUGAAACCAAGGUUUCACCAUCUUUAAAGGAUUGAGUUGGAGAAAGAGUAUUUAUUACAGUAGUAGUCCUUGAGAUGGAGAAUACAAAUAAAUAUACAAAAAGUAACAAUGAAACACCUUCCAUUGAUUAUCUGUUCACUCUUUUCUUCAAAGUUUGAAUAAAUCUUUUAGAAAAAUUUAGUAUACUAUUUGACAACUUGAAAUACAAAAGGGAAAAUCCAAAUCAUUGAUGGGUUUACAGGAAGUUUUCAUAAAGCGUGAAAGCUGUGAUAUUUUUUCUAAGGAAAGACAAACUCAUCACUAAUAGUUUUAUGGAAGUAGGAAACGCAUUGAAUUUAUUGGGAGUAAUAUCUAAAAAAAUCUCUAAAUUAUUUUUAAAAAAUUAAAUAAUUUCAUUCUUUUAUUAUAUUUAAUAAACCUCUUAUAUUUUAUUUUGAGUUAAAUAAAAGUUUUUAUAAUUAUUAUUUGACUGAGUCAAAAUGUCACUUGUCAUUCUAUGCCACAUUAUGCAAAUGUGAUAUGUUGAUACCUAAUAAUGGAUGAUGAUGAUGUGGCCUCUUGACAUGGCGUAAUGACAUGAUCAUGUAGUAUUUUCACUUUCCAUAUCAAUGUCGCAUGAGUAUGAUAACAAAUGACAUUUUAAUUAAUGAUGAUUAGUUAGCCACUAGUCAUAAGAGUUUAUUUGAUCAAAAAUAAAAAUAAAAACGUUUGAUUGAGCACAAUAGAAAAAUAAGGGUUUAUUUGAAUUUUCUUAAAUAAUUCAUGAGCUUUUAUUAGUAUAAUGUGAAUUUUUGUUACUAGAAAAUAAUUCUUGUAAUAUAAAAUUGUGUAUAUUACAUAAGUGAAUGAGGUAUAUGAAUUUUCUUGUAAAGAUUGUACAAACUGCCUAGCAACAAGAGCAAAGGCAAUUUCAUAAAUUUUUUACACUUUUCUUGAACUGAAAGAGUUGAGCUUUAUAAGGAUAGAGAGCCUAUUAGGUAUAGUUUUCAAUCCAUUAAACCAAUCUUGAUUUUAAGUUUUGUAGCUUAGGAUAUAGUCAUUUUAACGAGUGAUGUGCAAGCUAUCCAGUUUAUGAUUUAGGAAAUUUUAGAUUAUUUUACGUAGUUUCAAGUGAUAAUUAGAUUUUAGAGAGUUAAGAUUGUUUCUAAUAUGUUUAAAUGAUUGUUAGUAAGCUUUUGAUUGUUUUUGGGAGAGAGCAUGUUGCUAGAGUGAAGGUAGGUACAAACCUUGCUUGUUUUGAAACUAUCGUAUACGUAUAUUUCUUCAAAAAAUUGAGCAUUUUAUUUCAUUAUUUUCAAUAUAUGAAUAUAAAGUCAAACAUAUAAUUAUUUUCUUUUUUGGUAUGUAUUCAUAUGACGAAGAAUGAUUUACAAAUGUUUUUGUUCAUUCAUAUGAUGAAGAUUGAUUAUGAAUGCUUUGGUUUAUUCAUAUGUUAAAAAUUGAUUUAUGAAAGUUUUGGUUUAUUAAUAUGAUGAAGAUUGAUUUACAAAUGUUUUGGUUUACUCAUAUGAUGAAUACUGAUUGAUGAAUGAGAUGAAAUCUUCAAUUUUCUUUUAAUGAAUGCUUUAAGAGCUAUUAAAUGAACCCUAGAAAGUGAGAUAAUCAAUACCAAAACUACUUCUGUGGUCCUACUAACGGGUUAUAGUAAUUAGUAUAUGACCUUGUUAAUGGGUUACAAUAGUCAGCAUACGGUCCCGUUAAAGGUUGCAAUAGUUAGCACACAAUCUUGCUAAUGGAUUAUAGUAAUAUGCAUACAACCUCAUGUCACAUCCCAUUUUAUAAAGGGAUCAUGACCAGCACAUGGACCUAGACGGGUAUAGCUCGCUAAACCAUAGUAACCCUCCCUACAUUCAUUCAUUCAUUCAUAACUUGGCCCAUUUACCAUAUUCAUCAUACAUAAAAGCAUACAAUAUCAACACAUGCAUGCAACCAUUGGCAAUUACACACAGUUAUAGAACUUUUCAUAAAAAAUAAUGUAACUGCAUUCAUUUCAUAUUAUCAUCAUAGUGCCAUAAUCUCAUGCACUAUGCCAUAUAACAUUCAUCUACACCCUUAGGUGUCUAUGCAGGCUCUCAAGCCACCUUUGCAUAGGAAAAGUUAAAAACCAACUCGUAAAUAGAGCGUGAUCCAACUUUUUAGGCAUCAAGUUGUUGUUAAACACCUAUCAAAGAAAGAAGACCGUGAGCUAGUCUCUGUGACAAAGGCAGUAAACUACUCACUGAUCUGCAAGACAAAAAUAGGGAAAAUAACGUGUACUUGUAAUCACAUGUCAUUCAUAAAUCUAUGAAUAGAUAAAGACUCUGUGAAUGGAUACAAGGUAAGAGACAAGCCAAGGGUGAGAGUUUUUCAUGACCAUGCACUUGUAAUCACAUGUCAUUCAUAAAUCUUCCUUCACUUCCAUAAUGAUCAUGAAAAAUGGCAUUUAAAUACAUUCUCAAUCGCAUGUAAGUGAAAUUUUUUUUUGUAUAAUCCAUUAGAAACCAUUUACCUUUGAAAAUCCUUUUAAAACACUUGAAAACUCAUUUUUGUGAAAAAUCUAUUGAUACAUUAGAAAUGUAUCGAUACAUUUUACACAGAAUGCCUCAUUUUCCAUUCUAUCCUAAAUGUAUCAAUACAUAUUCUUCGUGUAUCAAUAUUUUAGGCACAAAACCCAUUUUACUAUGUAAAAUCCUACAUAUAACCUUUCCUUAUGUCCUGCUAUCUCAUAGGGUUAUCCUUCUAGGCUAGAAUUCAACUAACCAAACUUUCAUUUGUCACAUUCUAGCGUAUGUCUUCUCAUCAAUAUACAUUCAAUCAAAAACAUAAACUCAAGAUCAUUAAUUCAUAGAACUAUUCUAACAAGCCAUAAACAUUUCAUAACUUUUGAGUGUUCCUUAUCCUAUUCAAGCAGGUAAUGAUUUGAUCUUCGCUACCUAGGAUUCUUAGUCCCUUCUAUCAGUGGCAUAUCAGCCUCACCCACAAUCUUUGAGUGGUUUGCUCCAAGUCAAGCAGAUAGUGAUUAAUCCCCACUAUGGUCAUAGGAUUCCUCAAGUAUAGAAUCGUUCUCAUCCAUAACUUGCAUUGUAAAGUAAAAUCAUUGUCAUAAUUCAUUCUCAUGCUUAGCCUAUAGUGUAUAUGAAUUCUCAAUACAUACAUCUCAUGGCAUACAUUUCAUAUUUUAUCUCAUAAACCAUUCUUAUGCCUAGCCCAUAGUGUACAUGAUAUUUUCAACACAUACAUCUCAUGGCAUACAUUUCAUAUCUUAUCUCAUAAAUCAUCAUCAUAUCAUGGGAAGGAAAUCAUCAUCCUCUAAACCAAUCAUCAUACAUAACAUGCAUAUCAUAGUUGUUCAUAAACUCAUAGAUGGAAAUCAUGCAUCCUUAAACCUUUACAUGUUACAUUAUGUCAAGCAUGUACAUUAUACCAUUCAUAUCAUUUUGAAGAAAAACAUUUGAAAGGGCUUGUCCCAUCUUGUUAAAAACUAAUACAUAGUAGGAUAUUUACAUACAUAGUAGAUUCGCAAACAAUUUGAAAAUCAUUUGUGUUAACUCACACCACAAAUCAUCAUUAAAUAAACUUUUAAUCAUACCUUUCAAAAACUAGUUGAAAAACCUUGAACUCAAAUCCUUUGAUAAACCACUCUUUGAAACAAUAUUUCAUCAUGUAUAAUUAAACAUUUCCAUAAAAAUCAUGCUCACUUUACAUAUUAAAAUACUUGAAAAGGUGUAUCCACUCACCUAAUUGAAGACUCAAUCUCUAACAACAAUUAAAACUCUACUCUAGCAAUCUCUUUGAAGUUUUGAACCAUUCCUAACAUUCAACAAUCAUUACAAUCAAUAUCUAGAUUUAUAAUUUCAUAAUAGCUAUUCUAGGUUCUUUUGAAACUAAUCAGAUUCAUUGAAAACUAAUUUUCUAGCUUCAACCCACUGCUAUUUAACAUAAUAAAUUCUUAAGAACCAAUAAAUCCUUCAUCCUUACCUUAGGUGAGCUUUAGUGCUAAGGAAAAUUACAAAACAUUUGAGCUUUGUAAUCAACAGAAAAUAUGGGCAUAAAAAAAAAUUCUUAGUUCUAAAAAAUCAAGAUUUAAAGGUUCAAAGUUGACAAAUGUCACCUUGUUCAUAAAAACUUAAAUUUAAGUUUUCAAAUCUUAAAAAAUGGUGACUUGGGUGAAAAAUGGGUGUAAGAGAGUUAAGAGGUGAGGGCAUACUUGAUAAAAACAGCAAAGGGUCAGAAAUCCUCAUAAAAUGUGACCUAUUUAUACUUUGGAGCGUGAAAAUACAAUUUUACCCUUUUAUUUUUCUGAAAAUGACGAAAUGUGUCGAUACAUUGGGCCCAUGUAUCGAUACAUUGUUUUUUAGAAAAUUUCUAUCAAUACAUUUGGCCAUGUAUUGAUAGAUUUCAUCGAAAUCCUUUUGGAAAGCUUUCUAGAUAAAUCUAUUAAGACAUAUGGUCAUGUAUCGAUAGAUAUUCUUCAAACUUCAAUCUAUGAAUACAUAAAGAAUAUGUAUACAUUUGCUGUAGUACGUAAAAACACACUUAGAAACUUGUCCAAAUGGACUUCUUUUAACAUCUAAUCUUCCUAAACAUAAUAACAUUUCAAAACAUAAAUUUUUCUAAGGUUAGAAACCGAAUUUAAUGUUUCAAAACAAUAAUUUCACAUAAUAUAACUCCAACUAACUAAUAGGAUUCUCUUAACUGGAUAUUGUAGUUUAAUUAAGUAAAAGGUAAUAAUAUUGUAUUAUAACUCUUAUUAAAUAAUUUGUAUAAUUUUCUUAACAGAAUUUAUAAUUCAUAUUUCCCUGCGUUACUCAAAGGGAAUUUUCAAAGUCUAUGGUUGUGGCCCCGUAGACUAUUGAUUGACAAAGAAAUAUGAAAACCAAGGUUUUGAACAAGUUUGGUUUAGCUAUUUCGAUUGCAGUGCUGUUGUAUUUUUUUAUAUGAAAGAAGGUUUCACGUCCUUUUGGUUUGCCAAUUCAAUUAAGAAGUCUUGUCUUCUCACUUGUGCAUAGAUUACUAAUAUCAAAAUCUAGCAAGACCCCGCAAGUCCCCAUCAAUCAAGAUUUUCCUUUUCCAUUAAUAUGCGAAUAUGUAAGAAGGGGAUAUAUAAGUAUGAAAGAAAGGUAGAAAAGAUUUAUAUUUAUUUGGGAUUUAGUCAAGGAAAUAUGAUUGUGUCGUGUCCUAAUUUUAAGGCAUAACAAUCAUGUUACAAAAAAAUAACUCUAGUAUUAUAAAAUGAUAAUAUAUAUGUAUAUAUAAAUAUAAAAGAUUAACCUAUUCAUUAUGUAGAUAUAAUUAACUAACAGUAUUCUCUAAACUAUAUAUAGUAAUUUAACUAGGUAAUAGUAUCGUAUUAUAACCAAAUUAAAUAAUGGUAUAAUAUCUUAACAUAAUUGAUAAUAUAUAGCUAGCGUUUCUCAAUUGGAAUUUUGAAGGUCUAUGGUCGUGGCCCAUAAAAAACAAGGUUAUGAACAAGCGUGGUGUAACUACUAAAUUUUUUUUAUACGAAAAAAGGUUUUGCUUCCUUUUGGUUUGUCAAGUUCCCCGUCAAUCAAGAUUUUCCUGUUCCAUAAUUGAACAUAAUUAUUAAUUAUAUAUGUGAAUAUGUAAAGAUUAAGGGAAUUGUAACUAUAACUUCAAUUGUGACUUAUCUAUGAAUGAAAGAUAGAAAGGUUUCAUAUUACUUUGAGACUCAGUCUCGAGUUUAUAUAAUUGUGUUAUGUCUUGAUUUUGAGAUGUGAGAACCAUAUUAUAAGAAAAAAAAUCUUAUAUUAUAAAAUUAUUUAUAAAAGAAUUAAUUUUAUUCAUCAUCUAACUAUAAUUAACUAACAAUAUUCUCAUAAUUAGAUGUUGUAGUUUAAUUAAAUAAUGGUAUUGUAUUAGAAGUCUAAUUAAAUAAUUUAUAUAACUAAGGGGGAAAAAUGAAAAAAAUCAAUAACUUUAAAGGCCUACAAUACCCAAAUAUUCAAAUGAGACCUUUUUUAUUGAAAUUAAGAAAAAACAUUUUACUGUUAUUGAUUAGAAAUAGAAGAAAUAAUUGAGAAUUAUUAGCAUUAUGGGAAUUGGGAAAAGAUAAGAAAUAAAAGAUUUAUCAGGUAUAUAAUUAGGAAAGUAAGAAAAUAUUUUAUUUUAUCAAUUAUCUUGACUUUUACGUAAUUAACGAAGUGAGAUAAAUAGAUGAGAAUUAUUAACAUGUGAGAGGUGAGAGAAAAUAGAUUUUUUUAAACAUCUAAUUUAAAAAUAUUUUAUUAAUUAUCUUAUUUUUAUAUAUUUUUAAUUAAUUAAUUAUAUUAUUAUAAAAUUAUGAAACCUAUAAAAAUAUGAGAUGUUUUGAUGGCUUAUGCUAAAACCGGCAUUCUUAGCGGAAGGUUGGUAGGAAACAAAAGAUGGUUUUAUACUUGGGGUUUUGCAGGGAGGGCUCCAGACGGUUGGUAGGACAACAAAAAGAAUUUAAAAAAAUAAGGGAAGAAAGAGAAAAAAAGGACGGAGCGGGAAAAAGAGAAAGGGGAGAAGAAAGAAAGAAGUCAAAAGGCCUUUGGGAAAAGAAAAGGCAAUUUUUUGACCUCUUGCUUUAUAUUUUUUUUCUAAUUAGAGAAGAAAGAUUUAAAUUUUAUUUUUUAAAUAAAAAAUUAUAUAUUAAUUAAUGAGUUAAAUGCUCGGGUGUUCCUUCUCUUUUAUAUUUAAACUCACUUGCUUUAUGUAUUGUGCAUGAUCUUAUUUUUUUAUUUAAUAAAUUAAAAUGUAUUGGCCCCAAUAGAGUUCAUGGAGGAGCCUCAAUUUCAACACAUAUGCAACGCUCAAGGCACUAAUGAAAAUAUUACAAUGCUGAAAUUGAAACGAUUCAUGUAAAUUUAAGCAUUCACGCUGAAUUUAAUGAAGCCCGAGGUGGAUUUAGGCCUACUCUACAAUUUGGGGUGACUUCGAUCUAUGUUUAACAAUGAAAUUAUGGAACCUGCUUACUUAAUGCAGACUCAGCUGCAGGAGGCAGAUUACUUUCCGAGAAAAAGCCAGGCUGCUUCGGAUGAGGCAAUGUGCUCUCACCACACAACAUGAGCAGAUGGAAUCACAGAUGAGAUUAAAAAGGCACAGGAAAGCUUCUUGAUAAUGUUAAUGUCAAACAAUAUCCAAAUAAAUUCCACGAGAAAGCUAAUCAUAUAUAAAAAACAAAUACAAAUAACUAUGAAGGCUUGAAUUAAAGAAUAGUAUAGGACUAGCUAGCUUUGCACAUAGUAUAGUUUGAUUUACCUAUAGAUUAUACAUGUGCCUGCAUGUCUACUUAAUCUUAUAUUUUUAUUAAAUUUGAUGAAAAACAUAUAGUUCUCUCUCGUCCAUAAAUAAUACAUUCCUGAAUCCGUGAUUUUAAAAAGUCAAUUUUCAUAAUUCAUGCAAGUAUAUACACAUUUUUUAUAUUUAUUAAAAUUGAAGCAAACCAAAUCAUUUUGUGUUUUGGACUUAAGUAAACUAUAAUUAGGCAUAUAGGACUUAAGUAAACUAAACCAAAAACGACAUGAGUAACAUCGUUUUGAGUACAACGAACUUUAAAACAUAAAAGAGUAAAACGACACACUUUGGAAGCUCAGAAUAUUUGAUAAAGAAACGCCAUCGUUUUGCCUUAUAGAACUGAAGCUCCUCACUUGUUCUUCACAUGCUGUCACCACCAGAUUAUGAAUUACCUUUCAACAGACAAAUCCAACUACCGUGGCUCUAACAGGGUAACGGUGCACUCGUUUGCAGAAGAUGAUUUACAGUUGCUUGUUGAAGACUCAGCUUCAGGCAGAUUCCUCCCUGUGAAAAACCCUGGCUGCUUCGGUUGAGGCAAUGCACUUUCACUGCCUAGCAUUACAAUUACAGAAGACAUGUUUGGUCUAUCUUCUGGUCGCUGCUGCACGCACAAUAAUCCCACAUGAAUGCAUCGCAGCAUUUCAGAUGGCAAGCAAAAGUCCCCAA
rnacentral:lncRNA from 1 species